UGGAUUACGAGGCUGAUCAUCUCGGGCAAAAGGGUAAAUCAUGACUCAUAGAUAAAGAUAUACAACCUCUGUAGAGUGUUUACACUAGUAUACUAGCCAUCCUCACAUACACGAGCAACCUUGGGGACAUCUACAUUAAAGAUGAUGACGCUUUGAAUUAAUUAUGCUUACAUUGAUCAUGUGGUUACAGGAUUAAUUAUGCUACCUUGAUAUUGUUAUCAUAUAAUGAAUAUGCUAUAUACAUAUAAAAGCUUACUGUAGUUAGACCAGUGUCAGCUAUUUGAGCCGCAUGAACCCUGCUUAUACUUUUUUAGUAUGAUAUGUGCUCACUCUUGCUAUUUCAUAACACCUCUAGGUUAUUAGUAAUAGUUGAAUAGAAGAGUGACAGAUUCACGAAGGACGUUCUCAGAAAUCUAUCAAAAGUGCUUAGCAUACGCAGCCCCUAGUCAGUCAUCCCUGUGAAGAUUGAGCCUAAAGAUUAAUUACCGUUCCUCGAUACUCUAAUGUAAGUGUUAAUUAUAAGUAUGUUUCUGCUAUAUAAUAUUGUUUCUGAUACUGUUCCUUAUAUGUGUGGACUUUCUGGACAUAUAGCUAGCCUGGUUUUAUUCUUUAAAAUCUGGUGUGACAAAGGUUUAUAUAGCAUUUUGUCUCCCAUUGUCUUACAUUUAUGGGUUUAGUAAUUGUAACACUGCCAGCGCGAAUAGGUUAGUGGUUGUUGGAUACAUUUAUAGAUACAACUAAAUAUGUGUUAUUUUUAUGUUUAUCAAUGAAGUACUUCAUAUACAUGCCACUAUAGAAAGUUUAAUUACUGCCAGGACUUUCACUACCAGUUAUGAGAUAACCGACGAUGAUACUUGUCACCACUGGCUCAUAGCGUGAGGGUCCCUUCCGAGUGAUCUACCAGCGGCGAGAAAUGUUUCCACUGCCAUCUUUAAACAAAAUGCUAGUCUUUGCCACCGCAUCGUACACUGAACCGGCUUUGGAACAUUUUAGCACUGCCAGCUAAUCAUCUAAUGCGCAACGCAUAAAGAAAACAAUGGAGAUAAGAAGUUUAGCCAUUGGUUUCAAAAUGGAAGGACGCACCACCAUAUUAGAGCCAACAGGAAACAAUAUAGCAUCGUCUUGGAAACACCGCAUCAUCAGUUGUGCUGACAAUGAUCAGAAGUUUCACCACCAGUUUUCAUGGGGACACUAUGAAAGCAACAACGAUUAUGUCCUUUUUGACAUCAUCAUAGAGAAAUGCACUCUCACAGUUUUUGACUCGCAAAGGCGACCACAAGAGCAUAUCCAAUAAUUGUCACGUGAAACAUGUAAGACAAGGUAGCUAUGCUACUAGAAAUCUCCACUUCUAUGACAAAAACAUUAAUGACGAAUUCAAAACUAUCAUAGAAGAUCACUUUUUAUAAUGAAUAUUUAUGUUUUAUCAUAGAUCAAUGGUGAUAAUCUUGCAACCCUCUCUUUUUAUGACAAAAUCAGGCCAUGUCAAAAAAAACAUAAUAGAUCUCCAUUAAAACUUUGAUGAACAGGGCUUAGUUAUUGAACUAUUACACAUCUGUGACAAACAAUAUUUGAUCUGUAACAAACAGCUUCAUCAUAGAUCUCCACAUGGUACUUUCUGCAUUCAUGGGACCUGCAUUUACUCAUCCAUGAUGCUUGCAUUUCAUCAUAAAAGUAUUUGCUCGAUCCUUUCUCCAUGCGACGUGUACCUAUAUCACCCUUCUCCAUCCAACAUGUACCUCGGGGACCUAUAGUUACUCAUUUGUGACACUUGCAAUUCAUCAUUAAAGUCUCUGCUUGGUCCUUUCUUAGUCCACAUUUACCUACAGGACUCUUCAACAUCCGACCUAUGGGACACAAUGGCUUACAUGUCACGUGUACCUAUGGGACCUGAUGGCUUGCAUGUCACAUGUACUUAUGGGACCAUCCGACCUAUGGGAUCUGAUGGCUUACAUAUCACGUGUAACUAUGGGACCUUUCUCCAUCUUCAUCCGACCUAUAGAACCCACUGGGAUCUAAUAAUGAAUAAUAAAUUCAAAAAAUACCUCAAUGCCUGGGAGUUGAACCCGGGACCCGAAGGAAGGAAUGCACCGGCUUUACCAUUGAACUAAAGUGGAAGACAAAAAAGACUGAAGGGGAGUUUGAGGAGUUCAAGAUACAACAAUAGGAGGAGUACAAUAAGCGUGUGAGGAUAUCAUUCACUUCUGUUCUUCUUCUGGUAACUCUCCAUCGUCAACUUUACUUGCUUGAUGUAGUGAAAAAUCAUUGUUUAAUGUGUGUAAUUGUGUGCUGGUUUGAUGUGGUGAAACUGUCAGGGGGUUGUUAGCGAUGUAGCAACUGUCAGCGAGUUACUGCUGAUGUGUAAACAAUAAUUUGUUGUAUUUGAUUAUCAUACCGAAUAAUUAUGUAGACAUCAUCAAAUAAUUAUGUAGUCAAUCUGUGCAAUAGUAAUGAUCUUUGAAUUAUUUUUAUGAUGAAUUGAUUGUUGGGCAUGUGGUAGAACCUAGGUAGGCCACGUGAUCAAAUAAAAAGGAAACAUGUAAACGAAUCAGUGCAUGACACGUGAAAUAGCCAUGGCAAUGACACGUGGCCUAAUAAAAAUCUAACACAUGCAAGGAAAUCAUCAAGCCAUGUGACCAAAUGAACAAAAAACAUGACAUACAUCACUGUGACACAUGGUUCAAUAAGAAACGGCCACAUGAACAAAUAAAAAUACAACAUAUGGUCCAAUUAAGAAAUGACACUUGACCCAACAACAACACAAUGCAUGUGCCAGUAGAAAACUAACAUAUGGAACAAUAGAGUCUCAACAUAUGGUCCAUUAAAAACCUAAAAUGUGCAAGAACCAGAGAGAUGACCGUGUUGUCCAGUAAAAAAGUGACACGUAUCUAAACCAUCCCCAAUGCAACCGGCUAUAGCAGGUACUUGUGGAAAGCAUAUCUAACAGAAGCCAACGCCAACAUAGUAGUGCCCCCGCCACGCAUGCCAAAAUAGUUCUAUGAUAUUCUAUUUUCAUCACAGAUCGAGCCACUUCUAUGACAAUUUGGUGAAAUCGUCAUAAAAUUGCAAGAAUGACACAACUUUUAUGAUGAAUCAUUUUCCAUCAUAAAUUAUUUAUGAAAAUGAAAGUAUGAUUAAUUUGGCUCCUUCCGUGAUGAAAGCUAUUCAUCAUAAAAGUGGAAAUUUCUGCUAGUGCAAGCUACUACUCCCACAUUGAGCCAAAUAAUAGUUUAUUGUAAGCUUUGAUCAUUAUAUGUCACUCUCAUGAUGAAGAGGUCCUUAGAGGAGUACAAUAAAAAGAGUAAGAAAUAUUAAUAGCUUUGGAAUUUUAUGUUCAUGGUACAUGAACAUGAGGCCAAUUUGAUCGCAACAUAACCCUUAUGCUGGAUUAAUGUGGUAUAUCAUCAUGCAUUACAUGAGCAUCCUCAUCAAAGAUAUGGUUACUCCGAUCUAGCUCAUAGCUUGUCCCCCUUAGUCAAUUGAUGAUCUAGCUAGCGAUUUAGUUUUGAGUGUAUAGCAAAUGCAUGUCUUAACUGUGUUUCUUGUGUUGCAAAAACUAUAUGGUCAAAUACAAUGAUGUUGAAUGAUUUAUACUUGGGUUGCAAGAACCCACCAUGAGAGUAUCAUUAUGGACGUAGUCAUGAAUCUCAAUGGAGACCAUUGCCAUACAUAAUGAAGGUGCUAGCAUUAUUCAUCUUGAAAUACCAAUUUCUUUCUAUCUGUGUUAUGGAAUGAUGUGCCAUUAUUAUGGAUGGAUUUGUUUUAUGGAACCGUAUCUUAAUAGUGAUGUAUAUGUUCAUACAUUGUGUAUAUGUAUACGACCCAGGUCUGGUGUGAUCAAAAUAAUAUUUGUUUUUUAUUACAAUUGUAUUAUGAAAAUGCAAUAUUACUAUGGGCUUGUCCAAAUCGUUGGUGAUAUGGAAUCAACCGACAAUGGUGAUAGUGACAACACCACUAAAAAACAAAGCAACAACGGCGAUGGACAAUACAAGACCGCCGGGUCAAACACAACUACGAUGGUGAAGGAUAGGACUUCACCGCUACAUAGUACGCUAGACUAACAUUGAUACCACCAUUGAUCAACACCACUGGAUCAAACGGCAACCGGCUGUGCUGGUACCUACAGCAAAACCAGAUUAUAACCCGAACCGACAUUGAUGUCUCGUUCAUCGCUGCAGGAUGGUUUGUCCAACCGACAUUGUUGUCUCCAUCAUCACCACCAGAUAGUUCGCAACACCGAUGGUGGUACAUGACCAGUUGUUGUCGGAUCAAGCUCUGACACGGCAGUGAAGGUAACUGACAACACCGCCGUAUUGUCUGCUAAUCCGGUGGUGAUGAACAAUAUCACCACCGACUUCGGAACUGGCGGUGAUCAUCGGGCUAUCACCAACGACGGCCAAAACUAUCAGUCAAGGAGGGUUUGGAACCGGUGGUCAUAAACUUUCUAUAGUAGUGAUUGACUAGUUUCUUGCUGGGUGCAAUGAUCAAUUCGGCUAGAUACCCCAUAAGUUUGCAGAAAAACUUCCUCCCAUAGUCGAGCGAGCCACCUCUAGCCACCUCUAGCACCGAGCAAACCCAAGAUCUAGUCUACCUCAAUUGCCCUCAAUGCUCGUGGAGGGCAAUGGGUUGGAGGGAUGACUGCCCUCAAAACGAUACCCCGAGCAGAUGCCCCACUAGAAGAUGGAAACCUGACCUCCCAAACUUAAAUGGGUAGUAGCAGGGAGACCUCUUUGGGAGUUUUGGCUAAAAGCCGUAAGAACACGAUAGUACGAGAUGGGGGACACAACAACGAGCAAAUAUCACUGGGUUGCCAAGCUGGCGUUGGUGUGGGCCAGGGAUGAUGGAACAGGAUGGAUAACUUGGCAUCGGUGAGACGUAGCUUGGACAGGUGCUCUUAAAUACUCCCUCCGUUCCAAAUUAUAAGUCAUUUCAAGAAUCUUGGAGAUUCAAAGUUUUUCAAGUUCGACCAAAUUUAUAUAGCAAAAUAAUAAGAUUUUUGGUACCAACCAAGUAUCAUUAGAUUCUUUGUUAGUUAUAUUUUUAUAGUGUACCUAUUUUAUAACAUAAAUCUUUAUAUUUCUCUUUAUAUUUUUGGUCAAACUUGAAAAUGAUUUGACUCUCCAAGAUUCUUAGAAUGACUUAUAAAUUGGAACGGGGGAGUAAGAGAUAAUCUCAAGAGGAGGGUAUAUAUAUUGGGUUGAACAAUUACUGUUGGAGAUAAAUGCAAUUAUAAUUAUGCCCUUAACAAAAUAACUUUUAUUUCAACGAUUGCCUUUUAAAAUCAACACCAGCUAUUUACAUACAAAAAUACCUAGAGAAAUACCGGCUUCCCAGCACCAACCACUGUAAUAAAGCUCAUAAUUCAAAGGUUGGGACCCGAGGUAAUGACAUUUGCAUAUACUUUUUUCCCUAAUCCAUGGCUGAGUCUACAAAAGAGAAUUUCAGGAUCCCAGUCAACAAAUGUGUUGUAAUCCACAGUUUUAUAGGAUGGAGACGUAUGAGUAUUCUUCAACAAGCACAGAUUAAAUAUUAUUCAUCAAGACACGAUCUUUGUCUUUGUUGGUGUCGUUUCACUGUCCAUGUAGUGUUGGACAUCAUUCGCCAGGAUGGUUUCUUCCUCGCUGGACAGUGGACACUGGCUUCCUUUUGUUAAGGCUCCUUUCAGACCUGUUUCCUUCAUCGAUCUGCCGAGAGAUCCGCCGCUCCGCUACACAUAGCACGAGGCUUGAGCCAACAAAAAAGCUUAGAUUGCAGAGCUAAUCUGUAAAAUUUGAAAAAACACACACAGCACGCACGCACGCAGAGAGAGAGAGAGAGAGAGAGAGAGAGAGAGAGAUGGGCGGUUCAUCAGGCCUUGUGGACUGGAGAGGACGGCCGGUGAACCCCAAGAAGCACGGAGGAGUGAGAGCUUCAAUCUUCAUUCAUGGUAGGCCAGUAGUACUAGCAUAGCCUCCAUAGUCCACACUUCUGUUUCUUUUGAGCGCUCUCAGACCCUUGCUCAUAAUGUGUUGAGUCCAUUGAUUGUCGAUGACAGAAAGUUCCCUUUUCAGAGUGUUCCAGAAUCUGCUUUCUAAUAAUCUAAAAGUAUGGACACACGACACCACACAUCUGGUUUUGAUAGCUUAUUGUAAUGUCUUCUUUAGCUAGGUUGCUCAUCUUACCUACUUCUGUUUUUCCCCCCCUGUUUUCUCCAAUAAUUCAGACAGACGUGACCUAUUUUGUUUCACUGGACUGACAUCCCCAUAUAUACUUGAUCUUAGCAAUCGGUUUCUCUAUCAAACGUUCCGUUCCUCAUGCAUGCUCACAGUUUUUACUUGUUCGUCUUCCCCUGCAGCGCUGGUGCUGCUCAGCAACGCAGCCAACAUUGCCAACAUACUGAAUCUUGUAAGCUACCUGCGGGAGGAGAUGCACAUGGAUGUGGCGAAGGCCUCAACGAUAGCGAGCAACUUCUUUGCCGCGCUGCAGAUGUUCUCCAUCCCAGCAGCCUUCCUUGCUGACUCCUACGUCAAGCGCUUCUACACUGUCCUCAUCUUUGGCCCAAUCGAAAUACUGGUAUGGUCUAAGCUGUUACUCCAUGUUUUUUUCUUUUUCCGAGAAGAUGCCUCUAUUUUUAAUUGAUCCUUCUAAGGUAUUACUUGUUCAGGAAAAAAAUAAUACUCUUGUACAAAGUCUUGUUCUAUAUAUGCUCAAAAGUUUGUUUGUCAUGUGAUCAUGUCAACUAGUUGUGUUAUUGUGUAGUGGAGACAUAGUCUUGUCAUUUUCAUCUUUGUUUGAUCGUCACUAGCUCUUGUAAUAAUUGUCAGAUUGAACGAAAAACAAGAAGAGUGGUACAAAACGUGCUCAUGCACUCAGAUCCGAUCCAGUCUACAAACAUGCUCUUGCACAUGUCAUGUCACAGGCUUGCAUUUCAGUGAAGUGGUACAAGACCCCAACUAUAUGUUGGGAUAAGAUGUUUUAUUUUCUGUAUGAAUUCUAAUGUCAGUCUCACAAUAUGUAGAUGUAAUACCUCUCUGUUUCAAAAUAGUACGUACCUACAAAAACUAGAUUGUAAUUUUAAAAUGCAGGGAAUAGUAAUGAAGUUGACGCUGAAGCUAAAUUAUUUUCUGAAACGCACGAACAAAAAAUCUGUAUAUAUGCACAUACCUUUGUUGAAAGCAUAACAGAGGAUUAUUAAUUUUUUUUGUGUUGCAUUGGCGAGGAUGCAAAAUUUAAUGUAUGUGGUUUCAAAACUUGUCUCAACGCUUAGUGUAUCUACUGCCUUCUGGUUUGAAACUAGUACAAAGUUUCAACAGCAGAUCAUUUGAGUACAAUGAUAGACUAGAAUUAGUGUUAUCUGUCUUUUGGGUUAGAGCUUUGGAAUUCCUCUGCGUGACAAAAAAAAGUCAGUAAGCACUAGAGGUUGAUGCAGUUGGUGUUCUACAGUACUAUAUUAUUCUCCGGUGGUGGUCUGUGACUCUGUUGACUUUAUUUAGGUGUCACGUAUGAGUAGUUGGUGAUCUGUCACUCUGGUGACUUUAUUUGGUUGGCUUUGGGUAACCAAUAAUGAUCAGUACUCCAUUUGUGGAGACUUGACAAACCAGUCACUGAAAUGUGGGUGAGUCCUAGACAGGGUUACCAUUUUGCGUCCUACUUUUUAUUUUUUUUAUUAAGAUAAUUGAUUAAAAUUUGUUUAGAUUUUCAAUUUUUAGUUAAAAUUUUACAAUGUUCCAAAAAACUUUUGCAGCAUUUUCAGCAAUUUUUGUUUCUACUCUAGUAUUUGUUUCAUACUUACUCCCUCUGUCCCAAAAGAAUGUAACUAUGGGCUUCAUGCCAGUUAAAAUGUUCACGUUUGAUCAAGUUCCUACUUAAUAGUACACAUUUAUGGCUCCAAAUCAAGUUAUUAUAAGCAUAAUUAUUUUAAUUAAUCUAAUAAUAUUUAUUUGAAAUUGUAAAUAUUUAUAUUUUUUAUCCUAGUUGAUCAAAGUUAAGAUAUACUAAAACAUCAUUCUAUAACUAAGGGAGUACAUUAUAACACCACCGGUAGAAUUCCUAGGGCACAACUGACAAUAAAUCAUGUGUACAAUCAUAAAUUUCCCAUGUUUUCUCAUUGCUUCUGUUGCGUCCCCCCCCCCCCUCCCUCACUUAUGGGCUCAUUUUAAAUUAUUGUUUUCUAGGCAUUUAACUUCUCCGUUCUUUUGGAACUAUAUUGUUUAAUUGCACAGACUCUCCAUUAUGUCUAGUUUCAUACCCUUAAAAUUUCUUGAAUUUUAUCAUUAGUAGUGUACACUGUUUAAUGCAUACUUCAAUUAGAUGAGCAAAUUUCACUCAUUAAUCUCCAAAAUAACGGCAACGUAUCAUAUGCAACCCAGCUUCUUGUGCAGCAUAUGCAACCACCAAUUAAGGCCAUAGGAUCUAGAUCUAACGUCUGAGGUUUUUUUCACUUAAACCCUCCACCGGUGGGUUUAAAUCUAACCCGUGUGUAUCUAGAUGGGAGGGUUUAAGUGAAAAAAAUUUCGGACAUUAGAUCUAGAUCCUGUGGCGUUAAUUGGUAUUGCAUAAGUUGCACACGAAGAUGAGUUGCACAGGAUACGUACCAGAAUAACAUAUACAAAACAUCAAAUCAUGAAAGUAAGACAACAAACAUUACUACUGAUCAAAGAACGACCAAUUUAACCAAAAAUGUUUUUAACCAUCUAAUUAUUCAAAACAAAAAAGAGAUGACCUUUUUUUUUGAAACUUGAUGUAGGACUAACUAAUAAGCAUGGCGAUGUGCAGGGCUACAUCCUUCUUGCGGUCCAAGCGCAUGUCCCAUCCCUUCACCCGCCACGGUGCGUCUCCGGACAGCAGACAACCACCACCUGCGAUUCCGUGCACGGCUCAAACCUGAGCCUGCUCCUGCUGGGCCUCUACCUGAUCCCCAUCGGCGAUGGGGCGGCUCGGGCGUGCCUCCCGGCUCUCGGCGGGGAGCAGUUCGACACGUCCGAUCCCGUCGAGCAGAGACAGGAAUCCAGCUUCUUCAACUGGUACACCUUCUCCAUCUCGACGGGUGGCUUCGUGGGGCUCGUCUUCAUCGUGUGGGUGGAGAACAGUAAAGGCUGGGACCUUGGCUUCGUCGUCUGUGCCUUGUUCGUGAUCCUGGGGAUGCUGAUAUGGAUUGCCGGCCUCCCGUUCUACAGGAACCAGCUGCCAACUGGUAGCCCCAUCACCAGAAUAUUGCAAGUAUGUGUAUUGAUCAAACAAUAUGUUAACUUCAUGGAUAAUUUUAAUUUGUUUAUGUUGCUAAUAUAAUCUUUUCACACCCUCGUUAGGUUCUUGUAGCAGCAUUCAAGAAAAGAAAAGUUGCAUUACCAGCCAACCCCAGUGAGCUAAAACGGCAAGACGACGCGAGUGCCCUCGAAAUGCUGCACAGAACUGACGGAUUUCAGUAAGUAGCUAGCUAGAGAACGCUCCAAUUAUUCCUCCAAACAUUAGACAAAUGCAAUAAAAAAACUAGGAUGAAUUUUGUCCGAUCAUUUAUGUUUCUUUUUUGGCAGCUGCCUUGACAAAGCAGCAGUAGACACCGGAAAGGCUGGUGCCUGGACUCUCUGCAGCGUAACCCAGGUGGAGGAGACCAAGAUCAUCCUCCGGAUGGUGCCCAUCUUCCUCAGUGCUGUGCUCGGGUACAUUCCGGUGCCGCUGAUCCUCAAUUUCACCGUGCAGCAGGGCAACACAAUGGACACCAGGCUCGGCGCAGUUCACAUCUCACCCGCAACGCUAUUCGUCAUCCCUACGGUUUUCCAGAUGGUUAUCCUCGUCGUUUACGACCGGUUCAUUGUCCCGUUCCUAAGACGAAUAACCGGCUAUGUGGGCGGUGUCACGCACCUCCAGCGCAUCGGCAUCGGGUUUCUUUCGACCAUAGUGGCCACUGGCAUUGCAGCCCUAGUGGAGGCCAAGAGGAAGAAGGUGGCAGAAGACAGUGGCCUUGUGGAUGCUACAACUGGAAUUCCAAUGUCUGUUUUCUGGCUGACCAUACAAUACUUCCUUCUAGGUGUUGUGGAUGUCACCUCCUUUGUAGGGCUUCUUGAGUUCUUCUACAGUGAGGCGUCCAUGGGGAUGAAGUCCAUUGGGAGCUCCAUCUUCUACUGCAUCCUUGGGGUGUCUGCUUGGCUGGGGAGCCUGUUGAUCCAAUUGGCAAACCGCUUUUCAAGACAUAGUGAUGGAACAGGAGGCUGGCUUGAUGGCACAAACUUGAACAAGGGCAAACUUGAUCGAUUCUAUUGGUUGCUAGCUGUUCUUGAGGUGGUAUCACUAUUAUUGUACGGCUUUUUUGCUUGGAGGUAUGUUUACAGGAAUGACCAAAGGGUUGUGGUUGAUGGAGAUAAUAACGCUUCAUCAGACGGUGCCAUAAAUGUGAUCUGAUCACCUGCAAGUGUUUCAAGGAGGUAUUGUGAAUGGUGACGUGAACAAUUCAUGGAUAGCAUGCACUCAAGCAAAUCAGCUGAGAAAUAUAAUUCUGGUUACAUUGGUUUCAUACUCCCUUUGUUGGUCACAAAUAACUGAUGGUAUAUUAACACAUUAUUGAAAAAAUAUGACUUUCACCAGUAGGUUUUGUUGUAAUAUAUAUUUGUACUGUUGAGCACUCUUGUUGGCAAUUUGAGUUGGAAAACACAUGCAUGUAAUGUUGAGAAAACCAUAUUUAACUGUUUACCCUAUUAAGUUUAGUUCUUUUCUCUGGUUUUCUUAAUUUCAUGCCAUACCAACGAGUGGCAGAUCCAAAUAAAAUAUUUAGGGGGUGGGGGGGGGAGGGGAACUGGGCCAAAGGGAAGUAGACCAACUUAACUGACUAGUAUAUUGCCUGCAGCGACACCACACACUAAUGGAAACGCGCGCUUUGCCUAGUGUCUAAGACAGGGCAAACAACAAAAAACACUCGGCAAACCAUUUGCCAAGUGCCACACUCGGCAAAGCCGAGAUGGCAAAAAAAAUGAUAGCAAAGCAAGCUUUGCCGAGUGUCUUUUUUCGGGCACUUGGCAACGCCUUUGCCAAGUGCCCAUUUGACACUCGGCAAACAAAAGUAGCCCAGACGGCGUCAAGUGGUUUACCGAGUGUCCGAUUUCCAACACUCGGCAAAGACAUUUUUUAAAAAAAAUAAAAUUAUAGUAAUUCAAGCUCUUCCUCAAGCUGCCUCAAAAAAUUCUUCAAGCUGCCUCAAAAAAUUCUUGAACUGUCCAAUUUUCACAUGGUUAGUAAUUCACAUCAGGUGACACCAUUAUAGUAUAGUGAAAUGUAAAUUCAGGGCUCAAGAUAUCACCAACUUCCUGUUCAAGCUGCAUCCUGUUGAUAUCUUCGCUCUUCCUGCCACCAUUGCUCUUCCCUAUUCCAUCCAUCCUAUAUAAAAUAAGGGCACUCACAAUGCAAGACUCUAUCACAGAAUCCAAGACAAUUAAUUAUAUAUUAUUUAUGGUAUUUUGCUGAUGUGGCAGCAUAUUUAUUGAAGAAAGAGGUAGAAAAAAUAAGACUCCAAGUCUUAUUUAGACUCUAAGUCCACAUUGUUCGAGGUAAUAAAUAACUUUAGACUCUACGAUAGAGUAUGCAUUGUGAGUGCCCUAAGUAACCAAAAAACAAUCACUGCAUCAUUAAUUUACUGGGAAGAAACCAAUCGACCUAUCCUCCACCAUGCUAACAGACGACAUAAAUGGAAACAAUGCAAGCCUGUGGAGGCUACGGCAGUAUUUUCACAACGUCUAAUGUAAUAGAUCUCUGAAAUGUUAAUGAUCCCAAAGAUGUAUUUUGAAUUCUGUAAACAAUUACUGCCCAAGGGCAGCAUAUGAGCAAUAGAAUUCAGGUGUUAUCCUCUCCUCCCUGGUGACUUCACGGAAAAAUGCAAGCCUUCUGGUCAACAGCAGAAUUUGUAAUAACCAAAUAAAAAAUCCCACAGCCAACGAUAAUACAUUUCUGGUUCAUCACACUAUGUCCGUAUCUAACACCAAAUCCAAACAACAAAUAGCUCUGGAGCACUGUUGGCAAAACAAAGAGGGAUAGGGUGACCGUACCUGAUCGAGCGGUGAGGUGGCGAGGCAUCUAAGUAGCCAUGUAGGCCUUCCGCUCCUCCCACGGCGUGGGCAGGAGCUGGGGCACGCUGAGCAUGGCGUCGAUGCAGAGGUUCUCAAGGCAGCGGCAAUGAUGGUGCACCAUCUCCAUACGACGUCGCCGCUUCCCAGCCCGGGCAUAAUUGUGCCUCCGCCGUGGCCUAUGAGCCAGGCCAAGGCUCCCUCCCUCUCUCUCCUGGCGCCCGCGCCCACACUCUCCUGCGUGGCAUCCUGCGCGGCGCGUGGCGGAGGGGAUAUGGUGGCUGCUAGGGUUGGGGUAACACCCAAACUGGCCAUGCGGGAGCAAUGAAGGUGGACACUUGGGCCGACUCUUGACUGCGGCGGCCGGGCAUGGAGGAGGGGAAGAAGUGCUGUCGGCCAUGGAGCAGCUUGGUCACACUCACGGCGACUCUGUUUCUCGUUGUGCGGAUGGAGGGAGAGGAUCACGUGUGGUGAGAGAAGGGGGAGAGGAGUCAGUUCCAUCUUACAUUGUCGAUUAUAGCGAAAAAGACAGAAAAAAGAAAGACACCAUGAGGGAUCGAACACUGGUUGCUUGUCGAGGGUGCAGGGGCAGGCUAGAGUGCUGGACACGGGCGUGAGAGAUUAGAGAGACGAGGAGGAACAUACACGCAAUCUUAUCUGUCAGAUUCGAGUGAGCAAGGAGUUGGAUGGUUGAUUUUAUGGAGUUGUUUUUCUAGGUACGUUUUAUGGAGUGUGCGGAGGGAGGCUAUCUCAACCGGUGAGGUUUUUUUGGGUAGAUUUAGUAAAUAAAAAUAUGGUGAAUUAAUAUGGUAGAUUAAAUCCCAUACAAAGCUAACAUAUAGCAGUUUUAAACCUUCUACAUGGCAACUUAGAUAAUUGAUUGAAAGUGCAUCAUAAAACGCAUAAGAAGAAGCAAAAAAUUUUUUUGUAACUAUCCAAUAAAAGAUCAAUUGAUGACGACGCAUUCAUGCUGCCAUAUUCUUCAUAAAUCAUUGGAAGCAAUCUAUAUACAAGGAAAAUUAAAUUACUGGCACAAAUUUCAAGUAUUUAUCUUUGGAGUUUUGAAGGUAGAAGAGAACAUAUACCACUACGGCAGGUUUUCUUGUCUUCAAAUUGUUUUAUGAUUUUGUCAUUGUUGAUGCUUCUAAACAUCUCAUUCUUAGGUGUAGCAUAUCAUUAUUAAGUGAUUGAGCCAUUCACCGCCCAUUUUGUUACGUAAAUCUAUCUUUAUAAUAGACAUAAAAGAAAAUAUUCUCUCAAGUAAAGCUCUUGCCACUAGAGAAUUGUUAAUUCAAUGAGCCGAUACACCAAUCGAUAAGAUAUGUUCAUUUGAGUCUUGUCCAUCAUUUUAGCCACUUUUCCAAUCUCCAUAGAUCCAAGAAAAUCUUUAGUUUUUCUAGCACGACUGACGAAGGCUCUCAGUUGAUUUGGCAAAAGGAGGUUGCCAACACCAAAAUCCACAACAUAAAUUUAAGCAAGUCUCACAAGCUUAUCCAAAUCAAAAUUAGAGAAGGAGUUCAUUAGGCUAAGACAAGCCAUGCAUACUAAUAAUUCUGAACUAAAUUCAUUAAAUCGAUGAUUCAUCUCAGACAAAAUGGCAUCUAUGGCAGCAAGGAAAACCUCAUCAUAUAUGGUAGAAAAAUACAUGUUUAUUCUUUGAUUCAUAAAGUCAACACACAAUAACCUUUCAUGGCAAAGAUAGAACUACCAAAAUUUUCAGGUUUUCCCAAGUCAAAGAAAAGAUAAUAAUAUGGGAAAAAAGCUUCAUCGUUUAAACUAUUAUACUCAAGCCAAUCAAACUCAUCAAACCAAGUUUGUUGAAAUGAUCACCAUUGAUCACUUUUCCAUUUACAAGCAAAGGAAAGAUUACGAGGUUGGGUUGGACCUCUCAAAGCAUAUUCUCUUCUUACUUGACCUCUAAUUUCAUAUGCAUAUUUUUCAAUUGGUUUGUGAUUUCCAGGAUCACCAACUACCAUUGGAUUGACUAAACUCCACUCUAUGUAUCUUUGGUUGAUUUGUACUGUCAUUAGUGCUUGGAGUUGUUGAUGUAACAAUACAACUUGAACUACAAAAAUAUUUGUGCAAAGAAAAUUUGAACAAUCUGCAAUUUAUUAAAUUUUAAUCAAAUUUUGAACAAUUAUACAAAGUUCAAAAGGCAAAUCUAAAGAAAAAUAAUAGGUAUACGGUAUACCUAUCUAUGAGAAUAAUAUACAUAUACAUACAAGAAUAAAUAGCUAUAGCUAUUGUAAAUAGCUAAUUUUAUUUUCUCUCCCAACCAUGCCAUGGAUUGGAGUCGGACGAUCAAAAUGAAGCACUAUUGUGUGCAGUGUGCUGCUGCCGCCUCUAUCCAUCUUCACCAAAGGCUGUUGGCUUAACUAGGCCACAACUGUAUCAACACCCAUGCAGUACCAACAUGCUAGUGGUUAGGCAUAUAUCAGCUAUCCUUUUCUUAGUUUUGUUUUCUUAAUUAAUCUUUCAUAAAAUGUUUAUGAUUAUCUAAAUACAAGAUUAUGGGUUUGAAAAACUCAUGGGUUCAUGGGUGAAAGAACAUCUAGGCCCCUAAUGAUUUCGGCGAUUAUUGACAAUGUUGAUUACUCUGACUAACAUGUGUUUUGCAGAGGCAAAGUCAUUAGUGAGGUCAUGGUAAUAGGUACUCGAUGAACAGGGACGUACAUGCCUACUUAAUAGUGGCAAUCGUUUUUGGUUUUCAAAGGAUGGAUGGACAUCGUCAAGACUAGACUAAGUCUAAGUGCCAUAUGGUGAAGAAGGACACUUAGAGUAGUUUAGGACUUUGUUUUCCUUUGACCGUACUAUUAAGAGGGGCUCUGAUCUAGUAGCUUGACUUAGGCAAGGCUUUAGGUUUAGGUGUGGUGCACACUUGGUAAACCUAGCACUAGGAAGCUCAGAGUUAGUCCUUAGAUCGAGAGGAACAAACUUUGUUUUGGAACGGUCGCGUUUCGAUGAAGUUUGGGUGCCCAAGUUGGCACCGGACGCUCUGUGAUUGCGUCCGGUGAGGUCAUUUGCAGUCAGAGUGCUGAGUGCCUAGGGUUAGGCACCGGACGCUAGCAUCGGAGACACCGGGUAGCGUCCGGUCCUAAACCCAGGGAGGUCCACAGUGUGACCAAGGUCACCAGACGCUAGCACCGGACUCGCCGGGUAGCGUCCCAUCCUAAACCCAGAGAGGUCCACAGUGUGACCAAGGUCACCGGAUGCUAGCACCGGACUCGCCGGGUAGCGUCCGGUCCUUAACUCAGGGAGGGUGAAAAGUUCACCCUCGCACCGGACGGUGGCACCGGACACUGGGAAGUAGCGUCCGGUGACCUAUCAGAGGCAAGUACAAUUAGCCGUUGAGUGUCACCGGACGCUCGGUGCAGAGCGUCCGGUGCAACAUCAACAGCGUCCGGUGAUCCCGUUUUCAGUGUAAAAUAGUUGGCCGACCCUUGGGCUUCAUGGGGUGUAUUUAUACACCUCCACCUCGUCCAUGGGAGGUCUCUUGCCCAUUUGAUCAGUUGAGAAUCACCUUGUGGUGCAAGAGAGAAGCAAGAGCCUAGAGAGGAUUGAGAUUUGAGAGUUUUCUUGUGAGAAUCCUUCUCUAGUUGAAUUCCAAGAGUCAAGUGUGCAUCCACCACUCUCUAGUGCCUUGUUUCGGUCAAGUGAGAGUUCUUAACUUGUUACUCUUGGUGAUCUCCAUCACCUAGACGGUUCGAUGGUGAUUGGGGGCACGUAGACCGCCCGGAGUUCUUGUGAGUCUCUCGUGUCAAGCUUGUGAGCGGUUUUGGGCGAUUCACCGUGACGGAGUGUCAAAGAAUCAACCCCGUAGAGAGCACUUGAUCCUUGCGUGGACCAAGGGGGAGGAAGACCCUUGCGCGGGUGCUCCAACGAGGACUAGUGGAGAGUGGCGACUCUCCGAUACCUCGGCAAAACAACGCCGAGCAUUUUCUUCCACUACUCCUUUACUUUCUGCCACUUACUUUGUGUUUUUACAUUCCUAGAAUUGCCAUGCUAGAAUAGGAUUAGAACUAGGUUGCAAAACUUUUGAUCCGGUAGCUCUCUAGUCACACUAGGCACAAGGGGUGAAAUUGGAGCUUAUAGGUUGCUUAAAUUUUUAGAAAAGCCCAAUUCACCCCCUCUUGGGCAUCUUGAUCCUUUCAAUUGGUAUCGGAGCCUAGUGCUCAGUAUUUAGGCUUCACCGCCUAGAGAAAGAUGUUUAACGGGGAUGGACCGCCACCCAUGUUCGAUGGGGAUGACUUCCCGUAUUGAAAGAUUGUUGAGUAUUUUAAACGCAAACAGAAAAAUCCGCAAGCGCACGGAUACCGAUGUAGCUUUCACCCGGGAGUAUUCCAGAGUAUCAAUUUUCCACAGGGAACAUGAGUGUACUAGUUAAGGUUCAAGAUCGCCCAAGCAUAACUAUAUAAUUAUUUUUGGUGGGAAGAGAGGAAGUUUCCUCAGAGUUCUCUAGUUGAUCUAAGAAUCAAGAAUUACUUCAAAGAUUAUUUAUUUUGGGAUGUCAGAACACUAACCACAGAAAGAGAUGAGAAGGGGGCUAGGAAGCUCUGACUACGGUCCUACAAACACCGAUCCGAACGAGGUGGAAUACGUUGACCGUUAGGGCUGUCACUACCCUAGCGCUACCACAACAAUCCGCAGGAUUGGGUGUAAUUCUAGGUAAUUGCAAGACUAAACACCACGUCUAAUCUAUUAAUUACUACUCUAGCAUUGCAAAGACUAGAGCACUUGAUGCAAGUGGGAAUCCAAUAAAUAACUAGAAUGUAAAUAAAAGUAAUUAAAGAACUCAGGAAUUAUGAAUUGAAGAACUUGGAGAACGAUGAAGAACGAAUCAGUUGCUGUAAAAGUACAAUGUUGAGGAAGAUCCGACAGAUCCGGCUCCUCCUCCUCUGCUCUCCUCUUCUCUCUCCCUAUUUUCUAGAUUACAACUAGAACUUACUAGAACUAGAACUAGAACUAGAUGAACUAGAACUAGAACUAGAUGAACUAGAGGGAUCCUCUCUACUUGGAUGAAUAAUUGAAACUCUAGCUUUGAUUCUGUAGAAGAGGUAUGUUCUCCAGGAGGCCAGGGGGUCUGCUUUUAUAGUCCUUCCAAGUGAAUAUGGGCCGUCGGAUCAAACCGACAUUAAUCGCACGAUUUUCCUUGAUCCCUUAAUUCGGUGGAGCAUGAUCCGCGAAGUUGACCCUAAUUGGGCACUACAUGAGGGCGGGCGACCUGGUCUCUAGGGCGGGCACCCUGGGCCAGGCCCCGUUCUGCCUUAGCUUUGUUCCCGUGGCUUCUGAAGUCUUCUAGAUGAUAGAAAAUUACCGCACACAUUAAUAUCUCUAUGUAAACCCGAUGUGUGGGCCUUUCCUCCAUAUUUCCUGAUAACCCCCUGCAGAAAUAUACAAACACCAAAACUCGUGGAAUUCUAUCAGAUAAAAACCCUAAGUCUGCGGGUUGGUUGCAUUUGGAUCCUUUUCUAUGAUUAGUUGACGGUUAAAUGUGAGCAUUAAGGACCGUCAACAAGCUCCCCCAAGCUUAACCUUUGCUCGUCCCUGAGCAAAGCUAAAAUCAGCAAGGAAACAAGGGUUACCUUUAUGCCUCUUACUACAGGGUUUUUAAGUUAUCACUAAGGUCUUAAGUGAUUGAAAAAUAGAACGAUCAAGUCAAGUACUAUAUCUCAAAUUCUUCUGUCUUACCUUUGUUCUAGAGUUUUUUAUAAGUCUGCAAAAUAAAACUGAGGCAUUUGCCUUCUUCUCGAAAGAUAUAUAUAAGUAGAGCUUUAAAAGUUUUAGCAUACUUACUUUGCAUUUUGCUAUGUCAAUGCUUGGAGUCAAGGGAGAGGAAUGUCAUACUCCUAGAUCAAGACCUUUGACCUUUUUGAAAAGUUUGUCAUCUCUUACUGGCAUAUUACUUAUUAGAGGGACCAUGGGCUAUCAUUUUUUCUUUUUUUCUCUUUUUUUAAGUCUCUCUCUUUUUUUUCUUUUUUUUCAUGUUGGCACCAAGUACCCCUAAUUCUACUGUCGGACAUGUGUCCAUUUUUUUCACUCAGGUGGGCAUCUUUGUACCCCUAAUUCUACUUCGGACAUUUGUCCAUUUUUACCUCUCGUCUCACUCUUUUUUUUUCGAAUCAAAUUUUUGCAUAGUCCCAUGCCUCUAACGCAAUAAUACUUCGGAAGAGUGAAUCUUUUAUAUGUUUAAAACAAAAAGACCUUGAUCUUUGGAGCAUGAUAAUUCUCUCAAACAAAACUACACGAAUUAACAAUGGCUUGAACAAAGCAAGUGCCCACAGUUUUAAUAUUUAUAUCUUAUAAGACUCUAGGUAUUAUGUCAAACAAGAUCUUAUUCAUUUUUAGAUUUUCAAAAGAUAAAAUCUCCAGAACUCUAGCGAAACAUAGAACAAGUUAAAUAGUAGCUCAGACCUUCUCAUAUCAUGUUUGUCAAUUAUCUAGACUUGGAUCAAACUUUCUUUUUAUUUUAUUUAAAACUUAGGAUUACACAAAACUAUUGUAUAUUACUCAAAAGAAAAACUUUGUUUGGUUUCAUGGUUAAGCAUUUUUUAUUUCCGAAUACUAGUAAAUAAAACCAAGAAAGAAAAGUAAUACUUAUCUAGAUACACAUGGGGGUACCUCUCCUGUAACAGAACCGCCCAAAUUAUAAGAGAUUAAGCCUAAUAGCGAACAUUUGCAUAGUCAAACCAUCGAGCUUAAGCCCAUAUAAUCCCGGUAGUCCGUGAAAUCUCGAAGGAUUUCAAACCACAUAUCGUACAUACAGCCAAGAUCGUAAUAAGUUUAGCGGUCACCAUCCACAAUUACAUCCAGUUCAUAAACAUUCAUCAAAUACAUUGGAGUGCUUAAAGUUAUUACAAACCAAGUUCUCAAGUAGUAGAAGCUUCAUAGUUUGAAAGUACACACACAAGUUCAGUUGAUACAGUGCCCUAGUUUGGUCAUUCCCACAAAAGCACAAGAGAAGACAGAGUGACCAUCGCCCUUGGUGUAGUCAUCGCCCAUCGUUGGGUACAAGCAGAGGAUGUAAUAACCAUAGUACAUUUGACCAUCUACAAAACAACAUGGGAGUAGAACCCUGAGUACGAGAAUGUACUCAGCUAGACUUACCCGUCAUAAAUAAAAAACAAAGACUCUUCAAGGAUCAUGAAGGCUAUAUAGUGGGGUGGCUGAGACUGUGGGGGUAUAAACCCCUAUACCCUUACGGCUAGACUUGGGCCAGGAGGCUUGGCCCAUUACGAGACGAGUUCAAGGCUUGAUUCGACAGCUUGGAGUUUUGCGCAAGGAAACAAGAUGUGGAGAUCAAGCAGGAUUCUAGUCGGUUAGAAUAGGAAUUGAUAUCGAAUUAUCCAUGGCAAUUGUAACCGACUAGGAUUAGUUUCUAGAUCUGUAACCCUGCCCUCCAGACUAUAUAAGGAGGGGCAAGGGACCCCCCUAGGACAGAUUAUCUCUCAACACAAUCCAAUACAACCAGACGCAGGACGUAGGUAUUACGCCAACUCGGCGGCCGAACCUGGAUAAAAAGCUUGUCCGUGUCUUGCGUCACCAUCGAGUUCGUAGUUUGCGCACCAUCUACCGAUAAACUACUACCGUGGGUAUACCCCAAGGUAGACUGCCGACCAGCUUUCGUCGACAGUGGCGCGCCAGGUAGGGGGUGUGCGUACAGCUCUCCCGACGAACAAGAUGGCCAUCAUCCCCGACUUCGCGGCCAUGGCGGGCGACUUCACGUUCACCGUCAGCUUCAACAACUUCACCGCCAUGACCACGGAGGAGGUGUAGAUCCGAUCUGCGCCAACCACUUCUUCAUCGACGUCGGCGGCGGCUUCAACCACGCUGGCUACGACUCCGACUACUCCAGCAACGUCUCCGACCACGCCGACAACGCGUCACCCGCUUCCCUGCUACAAAGAGAGGCAGAUCGACAACACCGACCUGCUCGGGCCAUCGACCAAAUUGUUUAGCCUACUUGCUCUGACCACCAGUCGCAAUAAUAAUCGCCGCGAAGAACGACGCUACGACAACAGCGACCACCGUCAUGACAAGUCGAAAAGCUCGAGGGCCGGACAAUUUUGUCGUCACCGACUAGACUUUCAUCCAAAGAUAAGUACACUUCUAAUAUCUUAUUUAUUUUUGGCAUAAUAUUUUUUAUUAUCAUUCAAAAAAAACUUUUUAUUUAGCCACACUAGUUUUUUCUCCUACACGAGCUUUCCAGAGCCGGUACUGUCUCCGACUCCUCCCUACACGUGCACGAGAUCCGCCCUCUGCGUUCCGGGUGGUCGGCAGUAGCUCUCUGGCGAGGCUGACAAUCCCACGCGUGUCUAGGUUCCGCACCUCAUGCUGAUUGUUGGCUAGACCAGAGCUGGUACAAGCUCUAGGAUGAAUUAACUACUUGUGCUAAUUUUAUAACAAAAAAUCUAAAACUUAUCUCAGUACUGAUUUUUAUCUAAAGUUUAUUUAUACAUCAUGUACUACCUAUUCUUUAUAUUUAUUUUUCAGGGGUUUGGCCCAGUCGACAAGCUACGCUCGGGGACUCGUCGACUAUUCCCUACGCUGUGCCCGGGGACUGCUCCGACCACCGAGCACGUUUACGUUUCCAACCACGCUCGGGGACUUGUCGACUACUCUCUAUGCUGUGCUCGAAGACUGUGCCGACCACCGAACACGUUUACGUUCCCAACCACGCUCGGGGACUUGUCCACCGGUCCCUACGCCGUGCUCGGGGACUGUGCCGACCACCGAGCACUAUACGCUCGGGGACUGGUCGACCAGCUCACCAAUUUAAGAACUUGGGGACUGCACCGACCACCGAGCACUAUACGCUCAGGGACUGGUCGACCAGCCCACCAAUUUGAGAAUUCGGGGACUGCACCGACCACCGAGCACUUGAUGCUCGGGGUCUGGUCGCCCAGUCUAUUAACUCGGAUGUGAAGGACUGCACCGACCACCGAGCACUUGAUGCUCGGGGACUGGUCGCCCAGUCUAUCAGCCCGGAACUUCGAAAAUUCCGGCGACCACUGAACGCUCGAUGCCCGGGGACUGGUCGCCCAAUAUAGCAACUCAGAAUUCUAAGGAGUGCGCUUGGUGCUUGGGGCCUGGUUGUCAUACUUUUGUACACCCGGGGACUGGUUGAUUAGUCUAUUCAACUGCAGACGGACUGGUACUUUCAAUUUUUUAGACCUUGCUACAAGGCUCAUACUUCGCCUUACAGCAAGCUCGGGGACUACAUCGGUACGAUGCAUCUGGCGAUGCAUCUCAGUUACAGAAUUUCUUUAAGGACUUUUCUUUUAACCCUGGCACCACGUGCCUACGUCACCUACUACCAGGCUCGGGGACUAAGUGGGCACACUUCACCUUGCGGUGAAUAUGCUUGCUUUUUUGAGAAUAAUACCUUACAAAAAAGUAAAGUGGGCACACUUCACCAGGAAAGAAAUCUUUUUUAAUUUAGAGCACCAUGCAUUCUUCGAACAACCUACUUCUUCGAUGUCAAUGUUGAUCAACUGUCUUUUGAGUUGGUCAAAAUACCGUUGCAACUGUUCGGACAACUUUCCUGAAGACGUCAAGCCUCACUGAUCGAAGAAGCUCAAGACGGCGUGUUACAUCACAAUACAUGGUGCUCGGGGACUAACUGUGGGGGUAUAAACCCCUAUACCCUUACGGCUAGACUUGGGCCAGGAGGCUUGGCCCAUUACGAGACGAGUUCAAGGCUUGAUUCGACAGCUUGGAGUUUUGCGCAAGGAAACAAGAUGUGGAGAUCAAGCAGGAUUCUAGUCGGUUAGAAUAGGAAUUGAUAUCGAAUUAUCCAUGGCAAUUGUAACCGACUAGGAUUAGUUUCUAGAUCUGUAACCCUGCCCUCCAGACUAUAUAAGGAGGGGCAAGGGACCCCCCUAGGACAGAUAUUCUCUCAACACAAAUCAAUACAACCAGACGCAGGACGUAUGUAUUACGCCAACUCGGCGGCCGAACCUGGAUAAAAAGCUUGUCCGUGUCUUGCGUCACCAUCGAGUUCGUAGUUUGCGCACCGUCUACCGAUAAACUACUACCGUGGGUAUACCCCAAGGUAGACUGCCGACCAGCUUUCGUCGACAGAGACUUUUGCAUAAAAGCAUUGUUCCACUAAAAAAACCUUUCUUCUUUUAAUUAGCUCAAGUUCAAUAUUAUCAUUACCUAUUAUCUAGGUUUGUACCUGUACUAUUACAAGCAAGUGUAGUAAUAUGAUGGUACCUCAUCAUAGCAUUCAUGAAACCAUUUAUCAUUAUAACCCAAGUGUUCCAUAGUCCUUACUACGAGGACAGGGCUCAUGUCAAGUGCUCACUAUCCAGGAGCGAUGGCGAUUCGAAUCGAUUUCUAACCAGUUGGCGAGUUAUUCCCCACACAAACCACACUCACUGAUCAAGUGAGCUACAGAUCACCGUGUUGCACUAUCUAGGACCAAUUCGCGGGUUCGACAGGCACCGCCCAUACCUGAGGACCGUUCCAGCGACCGAGGUAUCCAAGGUAUACCAAGGUUGCGCGCCGCACCCUCGUCGUUCUCCUCAACCAUCACCAAUACAGCGCGUACAUCGGGCCGACUCCUGGCCCGGAUAGUGCUCAGGCUUCGCGGUCGGAACGACGUAUCCUUCCAACUAAGUGUGGGGCAUACGUUCAACAUGACAAGAGGGCCGUCAACAAUCGGUCCUUAAUCGACACAGGCUGGAGCACUACAGUCAACCCACCAUAAGGCCCUGCCCGGUCUCAAAUUCCAUUCCACACUUGGUUAUCCAUCCUGUGGGGGUAUAAACCCCUAUACCCUCAUGGGCCUAUAUGGGCCGCACCAUUAGAGGUGGCUCGGCCCACAGGAUGAAGACGUGCGGCGCACGACUAGUCGGCGUGCACCGCAAGGCUACAAGAUAUUGUACCAAAUAGGAUACUUUGCUUGUAACUCUGUCCCUUCACGAUAUAUAAGGAGGGGCAGGGGUCCCUAGAGGACACAUCAUACAUCAUAUUCUCUCAACACAAAUCAAUACAACCAGACGCAGGACGUAGGUAUUACGCCAACUCGGCGGCCGAACCUGGAUAAAAAGCUUGUCCGUGUCUUGCGUCACCAUCGAGUUUGUAGUUUGCGCACCGUCUACCGAUAAACUACUACCGUGGGUAUACCCCAAGGUAGACUGCCGACCAGCUUUCGUCGACAGUGGCGUGCCAGGUAGGGGGUGUGCGUACAGCUCUCCCAACGAACAAGAUGGCCAUCAUCCCCGACUUCGCGGCCAUGGCGGGCGACUUCACGUUCACCGUCAGCUUCAACAACUUCACCGCCAUGACCACGGAGGAGGUGUAGAUCCGAUCUGCGCCAACCACUUCUUCAUCAACGUCAGCGACGGCUUCAACCACGCUGGCUACGACUCCGACUACUCCAGCAACGUCUCCGACCACGCCGACAACGCGUCACCCGCUUUCCUGCUACAAAGGGAGGCAGAUCGACAACACCGACCUGCUCGGGCCAUCGACCAAAUUGUUUGGCCUACUUGCUCUGACCACCGGUCGCAAUAAUCGCUGCGAAGAACGACGCUAUGACAACAGCGACCACCGUCAUGACAAGUCGAAAAGCUCGAAGGCCGGACAAUUUUGUCGUCACCGACUAGACUUUCUUUCAAAGAUAAGUACACUUCUAAUAUUUUAUUUAUUUUUGGCAUAAUAUUUUUAAUAUUAUUAUUCUUUAAAACAACUUUUUAGCCGACUAGUUUUUUCUCCUACACGAGCUUUGUAGAGCCGGUACUGUCUCCGACUCCUCCCUACACGUGCACGAGAUCCACCCUCUGCGUUCUGGGUGGUCGGCAUUAGCUCUCUGACGUGGCUGACAAUCCUACGCGUGCCUAGGUUCCGCACCUCAUGCUGAUUGUUGGCUAGACCAGAGCUGGUACAAGCUCUAGGAUGAAUUAACUACUCGUGCUAAUUUUAUAACAAAAAAUCUAAAACUUAUCUCAGUACUGAUUUUUUAUAUAGAGUUUAUUUAUACAUCAUGUAGUACCUAUUCUCUAUAUUUAUUUUUCAGGAGUUUGGUCCAGUCGACAAGCUACGCUCGGAGACUCGUCGACUAUUCCCUACGCUGUGUCCGGGGACUGCUCCGACCACCGAGCACGUUUACGUUCCCAACCACGCUCGGGGACUUGUCGACUACUCUCUACGCUGUGCUUGAAGACUGUGCCGACCACCGAGCAUGUUUACGUUCCCAACCACGCUCGGGGACUUGUCUACCAGUCUCUACGCCGUGCUCGGGGAUUGUGCCGACCACAGAGCACGUUUACGUUCCCAACCACGCUCGGGGACUGGCCGAUCAGUCUCUAUGUCGUGCUCGGAGACUGUGCUGACUACCGAUCGUGCUCGGAGACUCAUCAAUCACUCCCUGCGCUGUGCUCGGGACUUGCUUCGAUCACUCUCCGACCACAGCUCGGGGACUGCUUUUCUCAGUUACAUAUCUAAUUGGACUGGAUAAUUUAAAUUUUUUAGACCUUGCUACAAGGCUCAUACUUCGCCUUCCAGUAAGCUUGGAGACUACAUCGGUACGAUGCAUCUGACGAUGCAUCUCAGUUUCAGAAUUUCUUUGAGGACUUUUCUUUUGACCCUGGCACCACGUGCCUACGUCACCUACUACCAGGCUCGGGGACUAAGUGGGCACACUUCACCUUGCGGUGAAUAUGCUUGCUUUUUGAAAGGCUAUACUUUUCAGAAAAGUAAAGUGGGCACACUUCACCAGGAAAGAAAUUUUUUUUAAUUAAGAGCACCAUGCAUUCUUCGAACAACCUGCUUCUUCGAUGUCAAUGUUGAUCAACUGUCUUUUGAGUUGGUCAAAAUACCGUUGCAACUGUUUGGGCGACUUUCCUACUUAUUGAAGACGUCAAGCCUCACUGAUCGAAGAAGCUCAAGACGGCGUGUUACAUCACAAAACACGGUGCUCGGGGACUAGCUGUGGGGGUAUAAACCCCUAUACCCUCAUGGGCCUAUAUGGGCCGCACCAUCAGAGGUGGCUCGGCCCACAGGAUGAAGACGUGCGGCGCACGACUAGUCGGCGUGCACCGCAAGGCUACAAGAUAUUGUACCAAAUAGGGUACUUUGCUUGUAACUCUGUCCCUUCACGAUAUAUAAGGAGGGGCAGGGGUCCCCUAGAGGACACAUCAUACAUCAUAUUCUCUCAACACAAAUCAAUACAACCAGACGCAGGACGUAGGUAUUACGCCAACUCGGCGGCCGAACCUGGAUAAAAAGCUUGUCCGUAUCUUGCGUCACCAUCGAGUUCGUAGUUUGCGCACCGUCUACCGAUAAACUACUACCGUGGGUAUACCCCAAGGUAGACUGCCGACCAGCUUUCGUCGACACUUCCCCAAAGCAAUCACCGCUAAUCAAGCAGGUAUCCACCUAUAUCUCGCAGGUGACAGGAAAUCACCCGACUUCUACCGGACUAAGCAAGCUAAGCAUAGACUCCGUGCCUAUCUACAUAGGACAAGGUAGGUUCACAAGAGGUGAUAUCAAGGAGUACCGAUGCAUCAACGGUAUCAAGCAAUUCCUAUCACUUAAAUGCAAAAUAGUAAAACAAGCAUAAUAUAUCAUUUAUGUUAGCAAGAAUAUGGAGGCUUAGAAUACUCCGGGGCUUGCCUUUCUCAAACGUGCUCGGCUUGUGAUCCGGGCACUCUUGCAACUCUUCUCCGGGCUCGGACACUCCCAGAGGUUCCUGCUCCUGUGCUUCCUCCUACUCCUCGGGUCCCACCUCGUUCUCCUGCGAGCCUGUAUGAUGCAUGGGUGCUCAUGAGUGGAGUGCGAGAUGCCCGGGGUGCAAUUCUCAUACGAGAUGAUACCAAAUGACCAUGACAUGAUGCAUAGAUGAUUUAGGUGGUCAUUUUUACAAGGUAGUCAACAUCAUCUAAGAGCAUGCAAUUACAUUAAGCAUCUAUUUCCUUCUCUUCUACAAAUUAUUUUCAAGUGUAACCAGCAAACUCACAUGGUGCUUCAAAGAUACACCAAACCCCUUUUAUUUUACUUAACUUAUGUGUAACAAUUCAUAAUUCCUUUAUCCAUUUUUAGGCCUACACAAGUAGCACAUUUCUAUUUAUCAAUAAAUUCCACAAAAAUUACAGUAGACUACCAGUCAAACAUAAAGUCUACCAUAAAUUUUUUUUAGAAUAUUUGGACACUCAUUUUGAGCUACAAAAAUCACAAGAUUAAUUCACAAAAGCAAGUGUAAAUACUCUACUGUGAUAUAAGUGUCAAACAGCAGAUUUCAUAUUUUUAUAAUUUGCUUAUUAUCAUAAGAAACACCCACAAAAAUUUCUAGAUUAAUUGCAUGAUCCAAUUAUUUAUUAAAAAUCAUAAACCACUGCCAUGCAAGCAUUUAAAUCACCAUAAAUUCAUUCAUACAGCAAAUAAUGUUUAACAAAAUUUUCCCAGUGACUAAACAUCCAUGCAGAGCCAACAAAACAAGUUUCAUAUUUUUCUGAGCUAUAUUUUAAUUACUAUGCAUUUUCCAAUUCUAGCAAAAACAUGGAUUAAAUAUAUUUGUACAGAAAAGUUGUUCAAACAUGACAUGCAACCACAGCAAACUGCAGAUCUAGGAAUAUAGAGUUCAUCAAACUUUAUUUCACAAAUUUUGGAGCUGUAGAACUCAAGAUAUGGAUUUUACAAGAUAUAAACAAUUUCUGGAAAAUCUUUAUUUAAGAAAACCGACGGAAAACGUUAGAUUCACCCAGAUCCACACCCGCAGAGACACUGACAGGUGGGAUCCAGGGGUCGUCGCCCCGCAGGUCAGCCAUGCAGAGCUCCGGCCAACUUCGGCCGGCCGGCUCUCGCCGACGGCGAGGUCUCCGGUCGCGUGGAGGACACCUACGGCUUCGUAUCAUCAAGGCGAACACGUUGAGCUAGAUCUCAUCGACGGAGGAGGUCCCUAGCGGCAGCUAUGGCGCACGGCGGAGCUCGGUGGCGCUGCUCGCCGGCGUCCGGCCGUCUCUGGCCGAUAGAGCGCGAACGGAGGGGUGCUUAUGGUUUGCGGGAGCACGACGACCACAACGCGCGAACAAACGUAGAGAAAAGGGGUCAGGAAGGGGGAGAUUCGUGGGGACCGAGAGCUCGCCGGAGCUCUGGCCAUGUCGCGGCGGUGAAAUCUCACCUAAUACCUAGACGCUGUCGGCCGGGAGUGUGCGCACGAGGUUGGGCUCGUCGAGGCGGAGCUAGGGGCGGGUUUAAUCGGGCGCGGGUGACCGGAGUUGAGCGCUGGGCUUCGGCGCCAAUGGCGCAUGGUGGAGCGCCGCCUCGGCUGCUGCUGCGCUCGCACGGGGAGGAAGAAGAGUGGGAGGAGCGGGCGACAGAGUGGAGGGUUCUGGGGUCGCGGGGCGGCGUCCCGACCAGGUGUAGGCGGGCCGACCGCGGCGCGUCCAACGCCGGCGUACGACCGCCACUUGGCCGGCGCCGGGUGGAGCGAAGCGGGCGCCGCGCGCGGGAGAGAGAGGGGAGGGGAAGCGGGCCGCGCUGCCUGGCUGGGCCGAAAGGGAGGUGGGUCGGCCCAGCAGCGCCUGUCCCCUUUUCCCUUUUUUUUGAAUUUCUUUUCUCAAAUUCUUUCUAAAUUCAUUUGGACUGUUUAAAAAUCACUUUUACCUUUUUCUCCCGAAAAAAAAGUUGUUCCAAAACAAAAACCCUACAACUUUGUUUUAAUAAGCAAAGCGAAAUUCCAAAUAGAAUUUGAAUCACAGAUUAAAACUAGUUCUAGGUUUUUAAAUAAAUUUAUUUUAGAGAUUUUUGUAUAAAUUCCAUUUCUCAAAUCCUAUGGCUCCAAAAAUUUCACAAAAAAUACUCUUAAACCUUUUAGCACACAAUUCAAUCUAAUUUGAAUAUUUCACAAUUUUAGAAGCAAGCAUAAUAUUUUUAACAGAUUUAAUUCACCUAAAUAAAGCACACAUAAAAUCACACUUGAAUUAUUUUUAUGCUCAUGGGAUGUGAUGCUUAUGCCAUGCUUGAUGAGAAUGCUUAUGAAUGUUUUAUGAGACUAAGUGCAUGCUUAACACCUAGGGUGUUACAGCCCUUCCCCCCUUAGGGAAAUCUCGUCCCGAGAUUUAGGUUACUAACCAUUUCUUAUGAAAUUUUGGGUAAACUGUUUUUAGGUAAUCCUCGGUUUCCCAGGUGGCAUCCCUAUCAUCAUGAUGACUCCACACCACCUUAUAUGUUUUGACAAUUUUGUUUUGGGUUACUCGCUCCUUGGUAUCUACGAUACCCACUGGCUGCUCUCUAUAUUCUAAGUCUGCUUUUAUUUUGAUUCCUCGGGGUUCAAUCCUUUGCUCGGGUACCUUCAAACAUUUCCUUAGCUGGGACACAUGGAAAACUGGAAAGAUUGAACUCAAUUCUUCAGGUAACUGAAUCUUGUAGGCCAUAGGGCCUUUCCUCUCUAGUAUCUGAUAUGGUCCCAAAUAUCUCGAAAACGCUGAACUUUCUUCAUUGGUGUAACCUUGUGGUAAACAUAGUCACCCACGUUGAAUUCAAGCGGCCUUCUUUGCUUAUCGGCAUAACUCUUUUGUCGCGAUUGUGCCGCCUUCAUACGCUGUUGUAUGAUUUGUACUUUUUCCUCAGCCUCGUUCACGAAGUCGAUGCCAUAGUAUCUCCUUUCACCAGGUUCGACCCAGUUUAACGGAGUUCUACAUUUAUGACCAUACAAAGCUUCGAACGGAGCCAUCUUGAUACUCUCUUGAUAGCUAUUGUUGUAUGAGAAUUCAGCCAAAGGUAACCAUGAUUCCCAUGAUCCCUUGGACGAUAGUACACAGGCCCUCAGCAUAUCUUCUAACACUUGAUUUAGUCUUUCCGUUUGACCCGAGGUCUGGGGAUGAUACGUUGUGCUUCUUAUCAGACUAGUCCCCAAACUCUUAUGCAUUCGCUCCCAAAAGUGAGCGGUGAACUGUGGUCCUCUGUCAGAUAUGAUGGUCUUGGGAAUGCCAUGUAAUUUGACGAUCUCAGCUAUAUAUAUGUCCGCAUACUCGGGAGGUCGGUAACGAGUUUUCACAGGGAUGAAAUGAGCCGACUUGGUCAAUCGAUCUAUGAUCACCCAAAUCGAGUCAUUCCCCUUUCCUAUUGUUGGUAAUCCUGUGAUAAAGUCCAUGCUGACCUCUUCCCACUUCCACUCUGGAACGGACAACGGUUGCAACAGACCUGUAGGUUUCAUAUGUAUAGCCUUAACUCUGCAACAUGUGUCACAACGGGCCACAUAUGCUGCUAUUUCUUUCUUCAUCUUAGUGCACCAAAAGUGAGAUCUUAGGUCUUGAUACAUCUUACUACUACCAGGAUGAAUAGAAAGCUUGGAGAGUUGGGCUUCAUCCAUGAUGCGAUCCUUCAAUUCUCGAUUCUUCGGAACUACCAGCCGGUGCUGAAACCACAAUACCCCUUUUUCAUCAACUCUAAAUUGAGUCCUUGGGUCAUUUUUAAUCUUCUCUUUGAUGUGGAAAAUACCCUUGUCUGUUUUCUGACCUUCGAUGACUUGACUCUCAAGUGAACAACUAAGCUGUAUGUGACAUAAGACUUCAGGAUGCAUGAGAUUGAAACCAUCUUCAAACAAUGGUUGAAUCACUUGACAGUGCGGUUUGCGACUCAAUGCAUCUGCUACCACAUUAGCCUUGCCUGGAUGAUAGUGAACCUCCAGAUCAUAAUCCUUGAUCAGGUCCAACCAUCUUCGUUGCCUCAUAUUCAGCUCAGACUGAGUGAAGAUGUAUUUUAGACUUUUAUGAUCGGUGUAGAUAUGACACUUAUUUCCCAGCAAAUAGUGCCUCCAGAUCUUCAAAGCGUGCACUACUGCUGCUAACUCGAGGUCGUGAGUUGGGUAGUUGACUUCGUGCUUUCUCAACUAUCGUGAAGCGUAAGCUAUUACUUUGCCAUCUUGCAUUAGCACACAUCCUAAUCCACUUUUUGAUGCGUCGCAAAACACAUCAAAAGGCUUCUCGAUAUUGGGUUGCGCUAGAACGGGAGCGGUGGCUAGCAACUUUUGCAAGGUGCGGAAGGCUAGUUCACACCCUUCCGUCCAGACAAACUUAUGAUCCUUUUGUAGCAAACUGGUAAUUGGCUUAGCAAUUUUGGAAAAGUUGGGUAUGAAACGACGAUAAUACCCGGCCAGACCAAGAAAACUUUGAAUUUCCGAGACAGAAGUUGGUGCCUUCCAGUCCAUGACUUCCUGUACUUUUGACGGAUCCACAACAAUCCCUUCUUCAGACAGAAUGUGCCCUAGGAAAGGAACUUUCUUCAACCAAAACUCACACUUGCUGAACUUCGCAUAUAACUGAUGCUCUCGCAGUCGUGUUAGCACGACUCUCUCAGAUGCUCGGCGUGAUCUUGUUCAUUUUCUGAAUAAACCAGAAUGUCGUCGAUGAACACCACAACAAACUUGUCCAGCUCUGGCAUAAAGACCGAAUUCAUCAGAUACAUGAAGUAUGCAGGAGCAUUUGUCAACCCGAAGGACAUGACAAGAUACUCGUACAACCCAUAUCUGGUGGAAAAAGCAGUCUUUGGGAUAUCUUGCGGACGGAUCUUGAUUUGGUGAUAUCCAGACCUCAAAUCUAUCUUGGAAAACACUUUUGCCUUGGACAACUGAUCAAACAAGAUAUCAAUCCUUGGCAAAGGAUACUUAUUUUUGAUCGUCACCGCAUUGAGUGGACGAUAGUCCACGCACAUGCGCAGCGAUUGAUCCUUCUUUUUUACAAAUAACGCUGGACAACCCCACUCCAACGAACUUGGCCGGAUGAACCCUUUAUCCAGUAACUCCUUUAGUUGAUUCUUCAACUCAGUGAGUUCAUUAGGCGGCAUCCGGUACGGCCUUCUAGAUAUCGGUGCGGUACCUGGUAUCAACUCGAUUGCAAACUCUACUUCCCUAUAUGGGCGAAGUCCCGGCAAAUCUUCAGGAAAGACAUCAGGGAACUCACAUACCACUGGUAUAUGUUCUAGUGGAACCACCUGUAUUGCACACGAAAGACUAGCGAAGUCUAACCGUCGAGGUAGCUUGACCUGAAGCACACCCUCCCCCUGUGGUUCCUUGAGGGAAAGAGUUCUAUUUCCGGCAUCUAUAACUGCACCCCAGUCGGUCAUCUUAUUCAUUGCAAUGAUAACAUCCAGAACCAGCCCUGGCAUGACCACAAGGUUUACACGAAACCUUCGGCCACUGAUAUCCAAGGUAACCCCUGUUGCUGUUUUGUUAGUCAACACAUCAGCCCCUGCUAAGCUGAAGCGAUAGCCAUAACCCAACUCAAUAACUGGCUGGUCAUGCUUUUGUGCAAAUGCUUGACUCAUGAAUGAAUGCGAGGAUCCAGAAUCAAACAAAAUAACUACAAGAUGUUGGUUGACAGGAAACAUACCAGCUGUAACCGGUUCUCCUUUCGGAAUUUCCUCUAUCGAGGUAUGGUGCACUCGAGCUGGGUAGGUCGUCUGUUGCCUCUUAGGGUAGGGACAUUCCUUAGCAAAGUGCCCCAUCUUGUGGCAGUUGUAGCAUGGACCCUUGGUCAUGUUGUUGGCGGCAGGUGCUGUAGCUUGAAUUGCUUUUGGCUUGGCAGGAGCUAUUGCCACCUUGUAUGGCUUAUGCUGCGUUGGAUGCCCGGUGUUCCUUCUCUGCAGCGGUCGGAACCUAGCACCCGGGGUAGGAGGAUGAUACUACUGUCGCCCUGCCACUGGUGCCCUAGACUGAGACGACCCGGCUUCAAAAGCCCUCUUACGAGACUUGGAUGCACUAUAGUUGUUGUUAUUGUUCUCCUGGGUCAGACAGUCACUGAUGUAAGCAUUGAACGUGGCCCGGGUUCCUAUACCCAUGGUCUUCAGCAUCUUUGGGCUCAAACCUCUUUGGAAACUAGCGAUCUUCUUGGCCUCCGUGUUCACAAACUCCGGAGCGUAGCGAGCAAGAUUGUUGAAAGUGUGUAGAUACUCCUUCACAGACUUUGUUCCCCGAGACAACCUCAUGAACUCCCCAACCUUCAUCUCCACCACACCCGGAGGAAUGUAAUUUCCCCAGAAAGCGGUGGUGAAGCGGUUUCAGGUGAUUGGGGUCCCCUCUGGGUAAGUGGUACGAUGAUGGGACCACCAAAUCCCCGUAGGUCCCUGCAACUGAUGUGCCGCGUACUCAGCCUUAAGUUCUUCUAUCAUCCGAAGAAGACAGCACUUUUGCUCCAUGGUGUUGAUCCACUCAUCUGCCUUGAGCGGUUCCAAGGCCUCCUUGAAGACUGGUGGCUUGGUAUCCAUGAAGUCCUUGAAAGAGCUGUACUGAUUGGCUUCACGGCCGCCCUGGUUAUCCCCACGGUGGGUAUUGUCAGCGAUAUUGCGCAGAGCUUCUUCCAUGUUGCGCCGCAUCUGUUCCAUGUUGCGUUGGCUCCCCAGAAACUGCGCGAAGAACACGUGCGCAGUGUACGGAGGAGGCGGUGGUGGUGGCGGUGAUGGUGCUCUUUCCUCAUUCCUUCGAGCCCCACCUCCGGAAGUACCUGCUCCAAGAUCGGCGUUGCUGUUACCCCCACCACGUGUUUACACCAUCUGCAUGCGUCAAUGACAAGCAAUCGUUAGGAGUUGCCAUCAACGGUAGACAUGUGUAGAAUUAUGCCGUACUGAAUUUACUGAGGAAAUAAAUUCGCACAAUAAACAGAGGCACAACAAUUCAUCAUCCACGCACAACAUCACUAACAGAUUACUUAAUAUUCAAGCAACAAGGUUCCCAUACAUCCAAAAUUGCCAGCAUACAUACACUGGACUUUCAGCGUCAUCACAUAAAGUUUUUACACAGCCCCGAUCCAAAAGUACAAGACAUGCCAUGCAACAACAACAUCAAAAGAAAGACUAGCUCUAGAGCCCUAGCAUCUACUCGCUAUGGUCACUGUCCAUGCCGGAGCCCUCCUCGCCCUCAUCUCCACUAGCAGCUGCCGCUAUCUCUGGAUCCUCAUCCAUCUCAUCCACAGAGUCUAACUCAGCUGCUCCAGGUAGGUGGUGAGGGUGGAGCUGGUUAUGCAGCUGGUGGAUCUCCUCAUGCAGGUUCUCAUUAUACUCCUCACCAUUAGCUAGCUGCUGCUCAAGCUCUAGCUGUCGGGCCCUCAGGGUGUCCUCCUCGUGCCAGGCUUCAUUCCUGUGACCAAGCACAUGAACUAGCAUGCGCUCGUAGUUCCUGUGAGCAGUAGUCACCCUGUCCCUCUACUCUCUAGCUGCAAGCAGGUCCUGACUCAGCUCACUGUUAUUCUGGACCGCCUGAUCCCUCUCUCGGGUCACGUGGGCCAACUCUGCCUGCAACCUCUCAACCUCAGUGUCGAACUCACGCCGCAGCUGGCGCUUCUCAUCCUAGACUCUGAGAAGAGACCCGGACAAGCGUCUCCAAACAACGCUCCAGGCCCCCAUAGGUCUUCAUCAAAGCGUACAUAGCACUCAUAGCUGCGCUGUCACUGUGCUGGUCCUCAUCCGCACUCCUCUCUAGAGCGUUCACCUCGGACUGAUCCCACACCGAAGUGUAGGGGUCACCCCGGGGAAACACCCCAGCGAAGGCGUGGGCCAGCUCUUGUGGAAACCUCUCCAUGAGGUCCCUCAGAACUGCAAAAGCAGCCCUGCUGGCACCGUGGAAAGGCGUGGCACCUCAGUACUCGUACACCCAGCCACCCAGGCGGGGCCACCUCCACUGGUAGGGACCACUGCCUCGAUCCCCACCAGGGUCCCGUCACCAAGCUGCUCCUUGUCCCAGUAAUAGCGAGGUUCCCUUCCUUCGGGAUACCACAUCGAACUGAGCACCCUCCAAAGCAAGGUGGGCAUCCCAAACUCCUCCAGGAACUUGCUCUUAUGACUCGAGCUCCUGGCUGCCAACUGAUGGCGAGGGGCCCGCCCACCAGUGGACUUGCGAGCGGUGAGCCUAGUGCGUGCCAUCUGCUGCAAAUGGAAUACCUUGGGUAAGAUUGAGGAUUAUCUUUAAUUAUCUUAUUUAGAAUUGGGACAGAUUAAAUUAAGGGAAGAAGUAAGCAAUGACAUGAAAUGAACAUGAUGCAUGCACAGACUUACGAUCUCACAAACUUAGAAAACAAAAGUUAACACUAAUCGGUAUAUGCGGUGGCACACAGCGUUCUCUCAUAACAUAACUAGCAUUCUAAGCGGGAACGUGGUUAGUGUACCUGCAGAAAACUCAUUUUAGCCCAACCACAGUACGAUCAUGUAGAACAAGAAUUUAAAGAUAUACACCCCACACACAUAGACACCCCGUCCAUGCAUAUGACGUGUUGCUACCCCCAUCAUCGCCCUAGUGACGGCAUCGCCUCUUAGGACGGAAUCUCCCAACAUGCGGUACUGUUCCCAAACACACCAAACAUGUGUGCAUGACACAGCACCUAACAACACUCCCCUAGAUCGGCAGUGUAUCCGAUCAUGCUCUCACAGCUCCCACUUACCGAGGCGUAGAGGAAGAAUUGAUCCAUACAUUACCACUCAAGUGAAUGGUACUCAUACUAUUGCACGCCGUAUGAGCGACGAAAUAGAAAUAUGAUGCAUUAACCCCCAAGUCAGUACUUAACUAGCCACCUUAGAGUCCUUAACUGGGCAUAAAGGAUAUGACCAUGGCACACUAGAUAGUUUUCCAAAAACUUAGUUUGACACCUUGAUUAUCAUUAAUUGAUAAAAAUCUUUUAUUAAACCGGUUUAAGUUUAGUUUAGAAUGUACUUAUGAACAGUAACUUGCUAAACCUUGCUCCGAUGAUAGCUGCAACAGUACCGCCCAAAUUAUAAGAGAUUAAGCCUAAUAGCGACCAUUUGCAUAGUCAAACCAUCGAGCUUAAGCCCAUAUAAUCCCGGUAGUCCGUGAUAUCUCGAAGGAUUUCAAACCACAUAUCGUACAUACAGCCAAGAUCGUAAUAAGUUUAGCGGUCACCAUCCACAUUUACAUCCAGUUCAUAAACAUUCAUCAAAUACAUCGGAGUGCUUAAAGUUUUUACAAACCAAGUUCUCAAGUAGCGGAAGCUUCAUAGUUUGAAAGUACACACACACAAGUUCAGUUGAUACAGUGCCCUAGUUUGGUCAUUCCCACAAAAGCACAAGAGAAGACAGAGUGACCAACGCCCUUGGUCUAGUCAUCGCCCAUAGCUGGGUACAAGCAGAGGAUGCAAUAACCAUAGUACAUUUGACCAUCUGCAAAACAACAUGGGAGUAGAACCUUGAGUACGAGAAUGUACUCAGCUAGACUUACCCGUCAUAAACCAAAAAUAAAGACUCUUCAAGGAUCAUGAAGGCUAUAUAGUGGGGUGGCUGAGACUUUUGCAUAAAAGCAUUGUUCCACUAAACAUAGUAAAAAAAACCUUUCUUCUUUUAAUUAGCUCAAGUUCAAUAUUAUCAUUACCUAUUAUCUAGGUUUGCACCUGUACUAUUACAAGCAAGUGUAGUAAUAUGAUGGUACCUCUUCAUAGCAUUCAUGAAACCAUUUAUCAUUAUAACCCAAGUGUUCCAUAGUCCUUACUAUGAGGACAGGGCUCAUGUCAAGUGCUCACUAUCUAGGAGCGAUGGCGAUUCGAAUCGAUUUCUAACCAGCUGGCGAGUUAUUCCCCACACAAACCACACCCACUGAUCAAGUGAGCUACAGAUCACCGUGUUGCACUAUCCAGGACCAAUUUGCGGGUUUGACAGGCACCGCCCGUACCCGAGGACCGUUCCGGCGACCGAGGUAUCUAAGGUAUACCAAGGUUGCGCGCAGCGCCCUCGUCGUUCUCCUCAACUAUCACCAAUACAGCGCGUACAUCGGGCCGACUCCCGGCCCGGAUAGUGCUCAGGCUUCGCGGUCGGAACGACAUAUCCUUCUAGCUAAGUGUGGGGCAUUCGUUCAACAUGACAAGAGGGCCGUCAACGAUCGGUCCUUAAUCGACACAGGCAGGAGCACUACAGUCAACCCACUGUUGAUAUUUGGUAACGCAAUCAGGAAAUGAUCCGCAAGCGCACGGAUAUCGGUGAGCAUUUCACCCGGGAGGUUUUCCAGAGUAUCGUAUUUAUAUUUUUACCACUGGGAGAAAGGGUGCAUCUGACUAACCAAAUCUAUUGCUACUAUCCCUUUAGGCUACAAAGAAUGUUUCUCGAUGUGAGUGAUGUAUAGAGAAGACUGCAACCAUAGUCUCGUUCUAACCUUGGUAAGGAUGAUCUACUGUUCUAUUGGGGAAGCUUACGGAAUCUAGACACCACAAAGGAUGUUCGACCCGCACCUAUAAACCCUACCCUUCCUGCUUACGAGAUAUGGGAUACAAAGGUAACUCGGAAAUGUCACGUUCCUCGCUACUACCACGGUCCAGCUAGUCAGGGGAUAUCUAUGAGUACCCUAGCCUAAACACCACGUUUACGCUAGCAAUAAUUACUCUAAUACUCAACCGAAAGAGAUUAAAGUAAACUCAUAAACCAAAGAACAAUAAAACAAGAACUCACAUAGAGCCCAAUCAGGACUCUCUUUUGGGAUAUUGCUCCACCGACCUAAAGGAUCAAGGAUAACCGUUCAAUCAAUGUCGGUUUGAUCCAACGGCCCAGAUUCAUCUGAAAAGACUAUAUAAGCAAGGCCCCUGGCCCGUGGAGAUCAUACCUCUUCUACAGAAUCAAAGCUAGGGUUUCAAUUCUUCAUCCAAGUAGAGAGGAUCCCUCUAGUUCUUCUAGUUCUACCUCUAGUUCAUCUAGAUCUAGUUCUAGUUCAUCUAGUUCUAGUUCUAGUUCCUCAAGUUCUAGUUCUAGUUGUAAUCUAGAAAAUAGGGAGAGAGAAGAGGAGAGCGGAGGAGGAGCCAGAUCUGUCGGAUCUUCCUCAACAUUAUACUUUUGCAGCAACUGGUUCGUUCUUCAUCGUUCUCCAAGUUCUUCAUUUCAUAAUUCCUGAGUUCUUUAAUUACUUUUAUUUACAUUCAAGUUAUUUAUUGGAUUCCCGCUUGCAUCAAGUGCUCUAAUCUUUGAAACAUUAGAGUAGUAAUUAAUAGAUUAGACGUGGUGUUUAGUCUUGCAAUUACCUGGAAUUGCACCCAAUCCUGCGGAUUGUUGUGGUAGCCUUAGCGUAGUGACAGCCCUAACGGUCGACGUAUUCCACCACGUUCGGAUCGGUGUUUGUAGGACCGUAGUCAGACCUUCCUAGCCCCCUUCUCAUCUCUUUCUGUGGUUAGUGCUCUGAUGUCCCGAUAUAGAUAAUCUUGAAGUAAAUCUUGAUUCUUAGAUCAACUAGAGAACUCUCAGGAAACUUCCUCUCUUCCCACCAAAAAUAAUCAUAUAGUUAUCCUUGGGCGAUCUUGAUUCUUAAUUAGUACACUCACGUUCCCUGUGAAAAAUCGAUACUCUGGAAUACUCCCGGGUGAAAGCUACAUUAGUAUCCGUGCGCUUGUGGAUUUUUCUGUUUGCAUUUAAAAUACCCAACAUGCGUACAAGGUACCAACUCGGACACAGAGGUUCUUCAAUAUUUCCUUUGGGAAACUAAGUGUCCGAUAUCCAUUGUGUUUGUGCUCGUAGAUCUCGGUUCUUCACUUGGUGGAAUCUGGGAGUUGUAAAACUCCUCCAUGUUUUGCUUGAAGUGUACCUGUUCAUAGAGAUAAGGCAGAGAUCAAGUGCAUGGGCCCUGUUGGUGGAAAACACCAACAGAACCAAAAGUGUAUUUGUUCUUCUCUAACCUUAAGCAUAGUGAGCAAGACAAAGUUGAUAGGAUCAUGAGUGUAGCAUUUGAAACAUUUGUUGGAUCAUAAGGCUCAACCUAAUGGAAAGAUAAUCUAUCUAUAUUUAUGUUUUGUUUAUAUCUUCCAAAGAUUGAAUGUGCAACAUAUUAGCUUAUAUGAUUAGGAGUGUGGGAUCACGAAGGUAGUACUAAGAACAAAGAUUAAAGGACUAAACAUGUUGAAUUAAUUGGGUUGGUUAAUUUGGAGCUACAAAUCAUACAUGUUUGUCUCUUUUAUUCAUGUGUAUGCUAGCACCAAGGAGAAGCUUAUAAAAGUGAUAGUCAAGUACCUUAAGAUGUUACCUUAAUUGAAGAGUGAUGGUACAGUAUCACCUUGUGGAAGGUUUCCUUUCUUAGCGGUUGUGCAUCGUGUUUGUGGCACUCUUUGUCUCGUUCCAUGGAUCAUCUCUCUAUGAUGAAUGAUCUUUGUCUUCCUUGUGCAAAUCAUUAAACUUCAUGUGUCUCCUUUGUCUCCAAUGUGAGUUUGUAUCUCAGGACUUCCCAGGUUGAUAUUGAAAGUUUUCCUGCAGGGGUUAGUCCGACAAAAUAUACCAAUGCCUACUCAAGCAGUUUUUAGUUCAGUAUCCAAACUAGACUCCAUGUCUAAUCAGAUUAAGGAAGGCUAUUUAACCUAAGCACCACGCUUAAUUUAAAAGCCAAUAGAAGUAUGUGCAGUACUUCUAAACCAACACUUACUAAAAUAAACAAAGGUAGCAUGAUGGCUUUUAUAGAGAUCUACUCAAGCAGAGAUGAGGUAGUGUGACUAGUAUUUAACAAAUCAAGCAUGUCUCAAAGGUAGCGACAACCAACAGAGCAACUUGGCAAAAGAUGUUUUCAUGUGAAGUACCCCCCAAGCUUGAAUUUUGCAAAAUUCAAGAUUGGAUGAAUUUAAUUCAAUGUUGCAUGAUGAUUGGUCGGACAUACCUUGUGCUUGUCAUUCAUCCGAUCUUCUUGCUCCAAUCCUGAAAAGGUUAGUGACAAGAAUACCCGAAGGAAUAUUUCUACAAUUAUCUUUAUAUGCUCAAUACAAGGCAACGUUGCAAAUAAUUAAAAGUUCAUGUUACGAUCUGAUAAGUGCUUGUUUUAGGACACUAAGCUUGUCCUUGGGAACCAUCAAUUAACUCAACGAGAUCUGCAAUAUUUAUUAUAGACAUAUGCAUCGACAACCGCCCUUUUAAAGUUUUUAUAAAUAGAAAAGAAGAGGGGGUUGGAGAUCUCAAAUGUGAUAAGGAUGGAGAGACCAAUUGAUUGGAGAGAUGUUUUAUAUGAGCAAGGACUGGGUGAGGUAUUUAUGAAAUAACUUCCAUGCUCACUGUUGUUUCUCUCAUUCUCAAACUCCAAGGAUGAUUCUUCAUGAAUGCUUAAAAUUCCUCUAGGAUUGUCUCUCAAGUUUGUUUUAUCUAUCCAUUCAAUGGUGAUGGCACAUGGAUUUUUAAUGCACUCUAGCCAUUGAUGUUGCUCUUCUUGAUCCUCCUUGUGGUCUUGGUGACUCUUAUGAAUGGGAUGUCUAGAGAGAUUCAUAGGAUCAUCAGGAGGUUCAAGAGAAAAAGCGUAGUAGAAAUUAUUACGCUCAAGGAUGGGAAGGAUGUCCACAAAUGAAGACAUACCUUCCUUUACUAAUAGAUAAAGAAAGAAAGACUCUACCAAAGUUUAUAUGAUUAAGACCAAUGUGAAAAUAUCGAGAAAAAGACAUGGUUUUGUAGGGCUAGGUUUAAACUAGAAUUUAUAGAAAAAUUAAGAGAUUCCCUAGGUGUAGCUAAAAGUUCAUUAUCUUGUUGAUUAAAAGAUAGGACCUCAGCUAUAGAAAAGGGUUGGUUUUGACCUAUUGCGAUCAACUCCGGACACAGAUCAUAAUUAGGGGCAGGACUUGUUGACUCCCAUGGUCUAUGGCUGGUCUCCGAAGGUGCAAAUAAUUCAAUAAUAGGUAUGGAAUUUGAGUUAUCCAUAAAGAUGAAAAUAAAAAGAUAAAAGAAUAAAAGUAUAAUACAAGAUAAUAGCAAGACUUAAAGUUAUCUCAGCAAACCAUCUUUCUCCCCGGCAACGGCGCCAGAAAUGCUUGUGGAUAUUUGGUAACGCAAUCAGGAAAUGAUCUGCAAGCGCACGGAUAUCGGUGAGCAUUUCACCCGAGAGGUUUUCCAGAGUAUCGUAUUUAUAUUUUUACCACUGGGAGAAAGGGUGCAUCUGACUAACCAAAUCUAUUGCUACUAUCCCUUUAGGCUACAAAGAAUGUUUCUUGAUGUGAGUGAUGUAUUGAGAAGACUGCAACCGUAGUCUCGUUCUAACCUUGGUAAGGAUGAUCUACUGUUCUAUUGGGGAAGCUUACAGAAUCUAGACACCACAAAGGAUGUUCGACCCGCACCUAUAAGCCCUACCCUUCCUGCUAACAGGAUAUGGGAUACAAAGGUAACUCGGAAAUGUCACGUUCCUCGCUACUACCACGGUCCAGCUAGUCAGGGGAUAUCUAUGAGUACCCUAGCCUAAACACCAUGUUUACGCUAGCAAUGAUAACUCUAAUACUCAACCGGAAGAGAUUAAAGUAAACUCAUAAACCAAAGAACAAUAAAACAAGAACUUACUAGAAUUAGAUGUCGAAUUACUGAAGAAUCCUAGGAGCAAGCCUCGGGUUAGAAGACUUGAUCCCGCAGAUACAACCUUGGAGUAGACACCGACAGGCCGGGCUUCCUCCGAUCUACACCUCCACUCUAUAUCUCUCAAUCUAGUAGAAACUAGAAGAUCUAAUUCUACUCACAUUGGAUGCUAAGCCUAAAAUAAAUAUUUAUUUAGAGGAGAGGUAUUCCUUCGAGGGCUCCUCUCAACUCUAUGAUGAACUUUUCUCCUCCAGGGGCCAGGGGGUCUGGUUUUAUAGUCCCCUCAAGUGAACCUGGGCUGUCAGAUCAAACCGACAUUGAUUGGACGGUUAUCCUUGAUCCUUUUGGUCGGUGGAGAGUAAUCCCCGAAGAGAGUCCUGUUUGGACUCUAAGUCAGGGCAGGCGCCCAAGAAAGGAGGGCGGGCGCCCUGCCUCUGGGCCCGUUCGGCCUCCGCUUCCUUCCCGUGGCUUCUGGAGUCUUCUAGAUGAUAGAAAAUUGCACGACAUGUUAAUAUCUCUUUGUAAACCCGACAUGUGGGCCUUUCUUCCAUAUUUCCUGAUAACCCCCUGCAGAAAUAGACAAACACCAAAACUCAUGGAAUUCUAUCAGAUAAAACCCUAAGUCUGGGUGUUGGUUGCAUUUGGAUCCUUUUCUUUAUUUAUUUGAUGAUUAUAUUUGGUACUUAAGGACCGUCAACACCCACCAUAAGACCCUGCUGGGUCUCAAAUUCCAUUCCACACUUGGUUAUCCUUCCCCAAAGCAAUCACCGCUAAUCAAGCAGGUAUCCACCUAUAUCUCGCAGGUGACAGGAAAUCACGCGACUUCUACCGGACUAAGCAAGCUAAGCAUAGACUCCGUGCCUAUCUACAUAGAACAAGGUAGGUUCACAAGUGGUGAUAUCAAGGAGUACCGAUGCAUCAACGGUAUCAAGCAAUUCCUAUCACUUAAAUGCAACAUAGUAAAACAAGCAUAAUAUAUCAUUUAUGUUAGCGAGAAUAGGGAGGCUUAGAAUGCUCCGGGGCUUGCCUUUCUCAAACGUGCUCGGCUUGUGAUCCGGGCACUCUUGCAGCUCUUCUCCGGGCUCGGACACUCCCAGAGGUUACUGCUCCUGUGCUUCCUCCUGCUCCUCAGGUCCCACCUCGUUCUCCUACGAGCCUGUAUGAUGCAUGGGUGCUCAUGAGUGGAGUGCGAGAUGCCCGGGGUGCAAUGCUCAUAUGAGAGGAUACCAAAUGACCAUGACAUGAUUCAUAGAUGAUUUAGGUGGUUAUUUUUACAAGGUAGUCAACAUCAUCCAAGAGCAUGCAAUUACAUUAAGCAUCUAUUUCCUUCUCUUCUACAAAUUGUUCUCAAGUGUAACCAGCAAACUCACAUGGUGCUUCAAAGAUACACCAAACCCCUUUUAUUUUACUUAACUUAUGUAUAACAAUUCAUAAUUUCUUUAUCCAGUUUUAGGCCUACACAAGUAGCACAUAUUUCUGUUUAUCAAUAAAUUCCAAAAAAACUACAGUAGACUACCAGUCAAACAUAAAGUCUACCAUAAUUUUUUUUCAGAAUAUUUGGACACUCAUUUUGAGCUACAAAAAUCACAAGAUUAAUUCACAAAAGCAAGUGUAAAUACUCUACUGUGAUAUAAGUGUCAAACAGCAGAUUUCAUAUUUUUAUAAUUCGCUUAUUAUCAUAAGAAACACCCACAAAAAUUUCCAGGUUAAUUGCAUGAUCCAAUUAUUUAUUAAAAAACAUAAACCACUGCCAUGCAAGCAUUUAAAUCACCAUAAAUUCAUUCAUACAGCAAAUAAUGUGUAACAAAAUUUUCCCAGUGACUAAACAUCCAUGCAGAGCCAACAAAACAAGUUUCAUAUUUUUUUGAGCUAUAUUUUAAUUACUAUGCAUUUUCGAAUUCUAGCAAAAACAUGGAUUAAAUAUUUUUGUACAAAAAAGUUGUUCAAACAUGACAUGCAACCACAUCAAACUACAGAUCUGGGAAUAUAGAGUUCAUCAAACUUUAUUUCACAAAUUUUUGAGCUGUAGAACUCAAGAUAUGGAUUUUACAAAAUUUAAACAAUUUCUGGAAAAUCUUUAUUUAAGAAAACCGACGGAAAACGUUAGAUUCACCUAGAUCCACACCCGCAGAGGCACUGACAGGUGGGAUCCAGGGGUCGUGGCCCCACAGGUCAGCCAUGCAGAGCUCCGGCCAACUUCGGCCGGCCGGCUCUCGCCGACGGCGAGGUCUCCGGUGGCGCGGAGGGCACCUACGGGUUCGUCUCAUCAAGGCGAACAUGUUGAGCUAGAUCUCAUCGACGGAGGAGGUCCCUAGCGGCAGCUAUGGCGCACGGCGGAGCUCGGUGGCGCUGCUCACCGGCGUCCGGCCGUCUCCGGCCGAUAGAGCGCGAACGGAGGGGUGCUUAGGGUUCGCGGGAGCACGGCGACCACAACGUGCGAACAAACGAAGAGAAAAGGGGCCAGGAAGGGGGAGAUUCGCGAGGAUCGAGAGCUCGCCGGAGCUCCGGCCAUGUCGCGGUGGUGAAAUCUCACCUAAUACCUGGACGCUGUCGGCCGGGAGUGUGCGCACGAGGUUGCGCUCGUCGAGGCGGAGCUAGGGGCGGGUUUAAUCGGGCGCGGGUGACCGGAGUUGAGCGCUGGGCUUCGGCGCCAAUGGCGCACGGCAGAGCACCGCUACGGCUGCCGCUGCGCUCGCGCGGGGAGGAAGAAGAGAGGGAGGAGCGAGCGACAGAGUGGAGCGGCGUCCCGACCAGGUGUAGGCGGGCCGGCCGCGGCGCGUCCAACGCCGGCGUACGGCCGCCACGUGGCCGGCGCCGGGUGGAGCGAGGCGGGCGCCGCGCGUCGGAGAGAGAGGGGAGGGGAAGCGGGCCGCGCUGCCUGGCUGGGCCGAAAGGGAGGCGGGUCGGCCCAGCAACGUCUGUCCCCUUUCCCUUUUUUUUGAAUUUCUUUUGUCAAAUUCUUUCUAAAUUCAUUUGGACUGUUUAAAAAUCACUUUUACCUUUUUCUCCCAAAAUAAAAGUUGUUCCAAAACAAAAACCCUACAACUUUGUUUUAAUAAGCAAAGCCAAAUUCCAAAUAGAAUUUGAAUCACAGAUUAAAACUAGUUCUAGGUUUUUAAAUAAAUUCAUUUUAGAGAUUUUUGUAUAAAUUCCAUUUCUCAAAUCCUAUGGCUCCAAAAAUUUCACAAAAAAUACUGUUAAACCUUUUAGCACACAAUUCAACCUAAUUUGAAUAUUUCACAAUUUUAGAAGCAAGCAUAAUAUUUUUAACACAUUUAAUUCACCUAAAUAAAGCACACAUAAAAUCACACUUGAAUUAUUUUUAUGCUCAUGGGAUGUGAUGCUUAUGCCAUGCUUGAUGAGAAUGCUUAUGAAUGUUUUAUGAGACUAAGUGCAUGCUUAACACCUAGGGUGUUACAUCCCCCAAGCUGGAUGUUGACAUAGUCGUUCACUCUUGUGGCCUGCAUAUUCGGUCUCACUCUUCUUAAGCCUCAAAAUCCUGCACAACCCAAAUAGACAACAAAACUCGUGGAGCAUGUUAAGGGUUAGGUAAUUGUCUAUAGCUUAUGAGAGCUUAAUGUGAGAAUUCUAUGAACUCAAUCACAUCAAGUUCCUCUACCAGGUUGUUUUGUGGCUCGAGAUAGAUUUUCAAGCGUUGACCAUUUACCUUAAAAGUGUUACCUAUGUCGUCUUAGAUGGUAAUGGCUCCAUGAGUUGAAGUGUCAAUAACCAUGUAUGGUCCAUCCCACUUACUUCGUAGCUUACCAUGCCCAAAGAGCUUAACUCUUGAAUUGAAUAGUAGAACCUUAUCUCCAGGCUUAAACUCUUUGUGCUUGAUUCUCUUAUCAUGCCAUCGUUUUGUUCUCUCUUUAUAGAUCCUUGAAUUGUGGUAAGCUUUCUCUCUCCAUUCUUCUAGCUCAGAUAGUUGCAUCAGACGAUUCUCGCUAGCGAGGUAGAGAUCCAUGUUCCAUUUCUUGAGUGCCCAAUGAGCCUUAAACUCUACUUCCACAGGCAAAUGUCAAGUUUUUCCAUACACAAGUUGAUAAGGUGACAUGCCUAUGGGUGUUUUGAAUGCAGUUCUAUAUGCCCAAAGUGCAUUAGGAAGUUUGUCCUUACAACCCUUACCUAUCUCAUCUACGGUCUUUUGUAAAAUAUUUUUUAUUUUGUUAGAUGUUUCAGCUUGACCGCUAGUCUGAGGAUGGCAUGGUGUCGCGAUGUUGUGUCGAACUCCAUGAUCGGCUAGAUACUUCCGGAAGAUUUUGUCGAUGAAGUCGGAACCUCCAUCGCUUAUAACUAUCCGGGGUAUACCAAAGCGAGGAAAGAUUACUUCAUGGAACAUUCUCUUGACAUGUUUUGAAUCAGCUGAUCGACAAGGUAGGGCUUCUACCCAUUUGGACACGUAGUCCACAACUACUAAGAUAUACUCGCAAUUCCCAGACAUAGGGAAUGGCCCCAUGAAAUCAAUGCCCCAUACAUCAAAAAGUUCUACUUGAAGAUUAUUUGUGAGAGGCAUUUCAUUUCAUGAGUUGAUAUUCCCAUGUUUUUGACAUCAGUGGCAUCUCCUGACAAAGUCCUUUGUAUCUUCAUACAUCGUUGGCCAGAAAAAGCCACUUUGCCAAAUUUUAGCAUGUGUCCGGAAUGCUCCAUAGUGUCCUCCAUAUGGCGAGGCAUGGCAUCUUUCCAUAAUUUGAGUAGCCUCAGCCAUAGGAACACACCUUCUCAAGAGUCCAUCAGCGCAGACUCGGAAAAGAUAUGGCUCAUCCCAAAGGUGGAUACGACUAUCGUGAAGCAACUUCCUUUUGUUUGUACCAGGUGGGACAUAGCCUUUUACUAUAAAGUUUAUGAUGUCUGCGUACCAUGGAUCUGCAUGUGUUAUCUUAAGCAGGGUGUCAUCCCAUAGGUAAUCAUUUAUGGGAAGCUCAUCAUGUGUUUCCUUAUAUUGAAGCCUAGACAAGUGGUCGGCUACAGAAUUCUCAACUCCCUUCCUAUCUCGGAUUUCUAUGUCAAAGUCUUGGAGUAGAAGAAUCCAUCGAAUUAGACGAGGCUUAGCAUCUUUCUUACUGAGGAGGUACUUGAGAGCAACAUGGUCUAAAUAGAUGAUUAUCUUUGUCCCACUAAGUAAGAUCUAAACUUGUCUGUAGCAAAGACAACAGCCAAAAGCUCUUUUUCAGUUGUAGUGUAAUUGAGCUAUGGUCCAGACAAGGUUUUGCUAGCAUAGGAUAUGGCAUAAUGCUUUUAAUCCUUGGUUUGUCCUAAAACGGCACCAACCGCAAAAUCGCUAGCAUCACACAUGAUCUCAAAAGGAAGAUUCCAAUCAGGUGGUUGGAUAAUCGGGGCUGAGAUGAGUGCUUUCUUAAGAGUUUGAAAAGAUUCAUGACACUCAUCACUAAAGAUGAAAGGUGCAUCCUUAGCUAGGAGACUAGUUAGGGCUCUAGCAAUUUGAGAGAAGUUCUUGAUAAAGCGUCUAUAGAACCCUGCAUGUCCCAAAAAGCCACGGAUUCCUUUCACAUUCGUGGGAGGUGGAAGUUUUUCAAUAACUUAAAUCUUUGCUUUGUCCACCUCUAUACCACGUUCGGACACUUUAUGUCCUAGCACUAUUCCUUCUUGAACCAUAAAAUGGCAUUUCUCCCAGUUUAGGAUUAAGUGCUUUUCUUCACAUCGCUGCAAGAAUCUAUCUAAAUUCUCCAAACAAUGAUCGAAGGUUUUGCCAUAGACGAUAAAAUCAUCCAUGAAAACCUCCAUGAUCUUCUCAAUCAUGUCUGAGAAAAUAGACAUCAUGCACCGUUGGAAAGAAGCUGGAGCAUUGCACAAUCCGAACGACAUUCGUCGGUAUGCAUAAGUUCCACACGGGCAUGUAAAGGUAGUCUUUUCUUGGUCAUCUGGGUGGUUUGGGAUUUGGUGAUAUCCAGAAUAACCAUCAAGGAAACAGAAGAAAGAGUGGUUUGCAAGCCGUUCCAACAUUUCAUCAAUGAAGGGUAACGAAAAGUCAUCUUUCUUUGUAGCCUUGUUGAGUUUUCGAUAGUCAAUACACAUACACCACCCAGUGACAAUUUGUUGAGGGAUGAGUUCAUUCUUCUCAUUCCUAACGGCCGUCAUUCCUCCUUUCUUUGGCACUACUUGGACAGGGCUAACCCACUCACUAUGUGGCACAGGAUAAAUAAUCCCAGCAUGAUAGAGUUUGAGGACCUCUUUCUUAACAACCUAUCGCAUAGCAUUGUUAAGUCUCCAUUGUGGUUCCCUUGAAGGUGUAAAAUUGGGAUCAAUAGGGAUACAAUGAGUGCAGAGAAUGGGACUAAUGCCCGUGAGAUCUUCGAGAGAGUAGCCAAAUGCUGACCUAUGCCUUUCAAGAACGGUGACAAGUUGUUGUGUUUUAUAAUCGAAAAGCUUGUCACUGAUAAUUACUGGAGUUUUUGGGUUGUUGUGCAAAAAGACAGAUCUAAGUCCAGAAGGAAGAGGUUUUAACUCUAUCGAAGGAGGUGAAGGUUGUUCAUUUUUGUCUAGCUCAAUGGGUUGUACCAACUCUUCUUCUUCUUGAACAAAGUGUUCAUGAUUAAAGAAUGGUUGGGCCAUCUCCUCUUGAGUCAGCAUUAAGAUCUCCUCAAUAGGAUCUGGUUCAAGUUUGGGUUCCACGAUCGUGUUAAUUGAUCUAGCAAGAGGAACAACAAUAGAGGAAUUCCCAACCUUGAAGUCUAAAUGACCUCGUUGUGGUUGUUCUUGUAGAAGUUUCAUGAUUGGUCUGCCAAUCAAGAGAGGAAUCUCUGGUAUGUCAAAAAUGUGAAAAUCUAGACAUAUUUCAGAGUCCUUGAUUCUAACAGGAACUGCCCUUAAUACCCCAUGGCUUUCUAGAAUUAAUCUAGAUGGACUUUGUGAAAGUUUUUGAGAUGGGGUUAUGGACUCGUUGGGAUAAAGAGUGUCAGCUAACUCCUUGAAAAUAACAUUUAUCUCAACAUAUGGAUUGUAGUGGACCUUCCUAGUGGACCCUCUAAUUUGGCACAAAAGAAUGGUUGAAGGAGUGAUGAUUCGAGCUACCUCAGGAGACAGCUCAGCUUCUGUUAGUCAUUCAUAACUCAGAAUAGCCGAAAGGCUUUUGAUGUGUUCUAUGUCAACAGAUUCUACUCUUAGAAUGGAUUGAGUGGUCCCUGCUAGAGGUCGUGUUUGGAUAGGAAAAUUCGAGGUGUUUCUAUAAUCUUCAAAAAGAUCUUCCUCGAAUUGAAAGGGAUGCUCUAAAGGUGGUGGUUCAUCAUCCCUUAGUUGGUUUUGCAUUCCUUUAUCAGGAGGUUUCUCUACAACCAAAUUAAUAGAUGGGUCAGGUGGAAUUUCUAACUCGGUUGCAAGUUCCUCAUCUUUUGGUUUAGGAUCAGGCUCGACUUCUUUUUCUUCUUCGGGAAACUCAUCAUAAAUGCCUGUGUAAGGGGUAUUUUCAAGAAUUCUUUCUAGGAUAGCUCUCCCCUCAUCUGUGAGUUUGUGUGUGAAUGAUCCUCCUGAAGCAAUGUCGAGGUGAAGAGCAGCUUCCUUAUUUAAAACACGAUAAAAGUGGUAGUACAAUACAUGGUUAGGCAGGGAAAGGUUUGGAACAGAAUUGGCAAGGCUUGUGAACCUAGCCCAAGCUGUUCCUAAAGUUUCCUUCUCUCUUUGUUUGAAUGUAAGAAUUUCGAUUCUAAGGUCAGUGAUUCGAAAAAGUGGGAAGAAAGCGGGACAAAAGUUGUCCCGAAGUUCAUCCCAACUUCCAUUAAUGUCUCCUACAGAAUGAGCAUACCACUUUUUUGCUCUUCCCAAAAGGGAGAAUGGAAAUAAUUUCCAUUUAAGGGUUUCUUGUGUCAUGUCGAAAAUAGAUCGGCAAGAGCACAACUGCUCGAAUUCUCUAAGGUGGGUGUAUGGAUCUUUAUCUACUUGCCCAGAGAAGGGUUGCUCCUGAAUCAUGGCUAUUAGAUCAGGGCUGAGAUCGUAGCCAUCUAUAAGAAUUGGAUGUCAUGAUGGUGGUGGCUCUAAUAACUCGCCCUUUGGAGCAAAGAAUUUAUAGAUAGGAGUGAAAUCCAUGUGGUGUGAUGAAAAUGGUAAGGUGAGUGUGGUAAAAAAGAAGAAAAGAAAAAGGAUACACGGACGACUUGGUUCGAAACUAGCAAAGCUACCGUUCUCGGGCAACAGAGCCAGAAAGCUUGUUAGGUAUUUUAAACGCAAACAGAAAAAUCCGCAAGCGCACGGAUACCGAUGUAGCUUUCACCCGGGAGUAUUCCAGAGUAUCGAUUUUCCACAGGGAACGUGAAUGUACUAGUUAAGAUUCAAGAUCGCCCAAGGAUAACUAUAUAAUUAUUUUUGGUGGGAAGAGAGGAAGUUUCCUGAGAGUUCUCUAGUUGAUCUAAGAAUCAAGAAUUACUUCAAAGAUUAUUUAUUUCGGGACGUCAGAACACUAACCACAGAAAGAGAUGAGAAGGGGGCUAGGAAGCUCUGACUACGGUCCUACAAACACACCGAUCCGAACGAGGUGGAAUACGUCGACCGUUAGGGCUGUCACUACCCUAGGGCUACCACAACAAUCCGCAGGAUUGGGUGUAAUUCCAGGUAAUUGCAAGACUAAACACCACGUCUAAUCUAUUAAUUACUACUCUAGCGUUGCAAAGACUAGAGCACUUGAUGCAAGUGGGAAUCUAAUAAAUAACUUGAAUGUAAAUAAAAGUAAUUAAAGAACUCAGGAAUUAUGAAUUGAAGAACUUGGAGAACGAUGAAGAACGAACCAGUUGCUGUAAAAGUACAAUGUUGAGGAAGAUCCGACAGAUCCGGCUCCUCCUCCGCUGCUCUCCUCUUCUCUCUCCCUAUUUUCUAGAUUACAACUAGAACUAACUAGAACUAGAUCUAAAUGAACUAGAACUAGAACUAGAUGAACUAGAGGGAUCCUCUCUACUUGGAUGAAUAAUUGAAACCCUAGCUUUGAUUCUAUAGAAGAGGUAUGUUCUCCAGGGGCCAAGGGGUCUGCUUUCAUAGUCCUUCCAAGUGAAUAUGGGCCGUCGGAUCAAACCAACAUUAAUCGGAUGGUUUUCCUUGAUCCCUUAGGUCGGUGGAGCAUGAUCCACCAAGUUGACCCUGAUUGGGCACUACAGGAGGGCGGGCGCCCUGGGCCAGGCCCCGUUCUGCCUCCGCUUGGUUCCCGUGGCUUCUGGAGUCUUCUAGAUGAUAGAAAAUUAACACGCACGUUAAUAUCUCUAUGUAAACCCGACGUGUGGGCCUUUCCUCCAUAUUUCCUGAUAACCCCCUGCAGAAAUAGACAAACACCAAAACUCGUAGAAUUCUGUCAGAUAAAAACCCUAAGUCUGGGGGUUGGUUGCAUUUGGAUCCUUUUCCAUGAUUAGUUGAUGGUUAAAUGUGAGCAUUAAGGACCGUCAACAAAGAUACGGAUGGAGUCAUACCUUGAGGCAUGCAACACUAAGUGCCUAAAAGCCACGACCGAAGGGUUUACCCCUCUGGCAAAAGACGUAAUUCUUACUCCACAAGAACAAGAAAAUGAGAAGUGGAAUGCAAAGGCCAAAAACCACAUCUUUAGAGGUCUUUGCAAAGAGGUGUUCAACCGCGUUCGGAACCACAAAACUGCCCAUGCUAUAUGGAAGGAACUUUGUACGCUCCAUGAGGGAUCAAAGAGUGAACGUGAGGAACGCAUUCAUCUUGUGAUGAACAAGCUUAAUAUAUUUGAGAUGCUUCCUAAAGAAAAUGCUAAUGAAAUGUAUUCUCACUUGAAUGUCAUUGUAGAGGAGCUAAAUGGACUUGGGCUCAAUCAAAUGAGUGUGGCGGAUGUUGCAAGAAAGAUACUAUGUGUUCUCCCCAUUGAGAAAUAUGGGCACAUAGUAACCGUGCUUCAUCAAGGCGAUCUCUCCACCGCUACACCCAUGUCCGUAUUGGGGAAGAUUAAUGCUCAUGAAAUGUACAUGCACAUGAACCCCCAAGAUGACUCAUCGGCCAAGAAGGAAAAUAAGGACUUGGCCCUCAAAGCUUCUCACAAGGGUAAAGCCAAGAAGAUUGAAGUUAGUCAUCAACUUCAAGUGAUGAUGAUGCAUCCAUUGCCCUCUUGGUGAGAAGAACCACCAAGAUGUUGAAGAAGCUCAACAAAAAUGGAGUCAACUUUGACUCCAAGAAGAAGAAGUUCUUCACAAGUAGCAAGAGAAAGCCCAUCUCUGAGAUGGAUUGCUACAAUUGUGGUGAUCUUGGUCAUCUUGCUCACCGAUGUCCAAAGCCCAAGAAGAACAAAUACAAGAAGAAGAACAAAGAGCAAGAUGACUCAAGUGAUGAAGAGAAGAACGACAAGAAGCAAUACAAGAAGAAAGGUGGCAAGAAGAAGGAGUACCACAAGAAGAAGAAUGGAAAGACUUACAUUGUUGAUGAUUGGCUCACCGACAAUGAAAGCACAAGUGGUUACUCCUCUGGCAAUGAAAGUGAUGAUGAAAAGGUUGCCGCCAUUGCCAUUGAUGCUUCAUCACCAUCAUCUUCACCACCAUCUACAUCCUCUGCACUCCUAUGCCUCAUGGCUAAGGGUGACCGGAAGGUACAAAGUGAGGAUGGGAGUAGUGAGAGUGAUAGUGAAUAUGAAUCACCAUCUUAUGAUGAACUUGUUGUUGACACCGUUUUUGGACACGUACCCAGGAUCGGUAGAAUGUGGAUCGGCAAGAAAGGGUGACAGUAACUGGUAUGCAGGAGAGUUGCCGAUGAGGGUAGGUGCCGAUGAGAAGACAGGUGAAUGUGGCUAAGUCCAUGGGUAGUGAUGUGUUUAUGCCGAUGGCCGGUAUUAACCGUUGCCGUUGGGGAGUCUACCGAUGACACGGAAGGAAGACUUGAAGGUUGCCAAUUGGUCCGUGGAGGUGUCCCAGUUUGUCACAGAAGGAUAGUUUUAUGUUUUCUUAGUUAUUUAAAUCGUUUUGUACACGGGUUCUGUUUAAAUUUGGAAUUCGAGUUCUAGCCAUGUCUGGUUGUAGCUCUUUGAGCAGGGUAUAAAUGUAGACUCUAGGGCCUUGUAAUCGAGACAUCAAUCAAUCAAUCAAACACAAGUUUUUACUCAUAUUUCAGCAUCUACUUUUUUGACGACUUCGUCAUAUUUUCUUUUCAUUACGAGUUCUUAGGAGUUCGUCGACUUAAGCUCGGCGUAUUCUCAAGUUCCGCAUGAAUACCUCUUGGCCAUGGCAUCCGGGCGCAUCGCUGUUGUCGGGACCAAAGUAUUCGAGUUAUCACCUUUGCCGAUAGUAAGGUCAAAUCGGCUGGCACGCCGUAACGUUUGAGAUCGGGUACUAGCCCUUUGUGUUUGCAGAUCUAGCUUUUGCAUCAACACAUCUUUUGGCACGCUCGGUGGGACAAGAUUCAAGAUAGAGAUCAACAUGUCGACUACUGAGUUUGAUCAGGAGAAUGUCAUCCCUGUGACGGAAGCGAAUCUCAAGGAUGAGCAGAAGCAAACUAUUGCGAAAGCCAUGGAGGAUUACAAGCAGCAAUGUUUUAGAUCCUUCAGUAUCAACAGGAGCGGCGAAGUGAUCCAGAAGGAAGCACUGCCCAUGCCUCGGCAGGUUACCUUUGAUGCCAAUCCUGGUAAACUUCAAGACAUGGUUGAUAAUGCUACUAACCGUGCUUUGAUCAAUCAAGCUGGUGUGCUGUCCAAUACGGUUUUCAAUGCCGUGGCUAGAACUUUUAAGGAAGGGCAAUUGCCACCAAAUUAUGUGGGCCCUUCUCAUCAUCAGCCACGAUCACUGGUGGUCACAGCUCCAUCGGCUGCUACAGCCGCUGUGGGCACAGAAACUGUUGUUCCUCCAAGCACGUUAGGAGUCACUAAUGCACAAUAUACGCCGAUGACGACUAAUCCACCGACUUCAGAUGAGCAGAUUAAGCUUACUACAGAUCUAUUGGCAUCAGCAAUGUCAGGGUCAGCCCCUCCUCCUAACUGGUGGGGUUUCGGUAUGCCUCCGGAGUACUUGUUGAAGA
rnacentral:lncRNA from 1 species